rnacentral:lncRNA from 1 species
GGUGGUGGACAUGGUGUUUCACUUGGAGGGCUUGGGGGUGUCACAGUGGGUGGAGUUGGUUGAACUGGUGGCAAAGGAACCACAGGAGGAGGGUUCACAAUGGGUGGUUUUGGCACAUAAGGUGGUGUAACGGGAACAACUGGUGGUUUAGGAACGUAAGGAGGUGUAACGGGGACAACCGGAGGUUUUGGGAUGUAAGGAGGAAUAACUGGUACAACCGGUGGUUUAGGGAUGUAGGGUGGUGUGACAACCGGUGGUUUAGGGAUGUAAGGUGGUGUGACAACCGGUGGUUUGGGGACAUAUGGGGGUGGUUUGACAACUGGGGGUAGUGGAACAUAAGGGGGAUGUGGGUGAACUGGCGGUCUAGGGUGAGGUUUUGGGACAUAGGGUGGGUGUGGAUGCACUGGUGGCUUAGGGUAGUGAGGGGGUUUUGGGACAUAGGGUGGGUGUGGAUGUACUGGUGGCUUAGGGUAGUGAGGGGGUUUUGGAACAUAGGGUGGAUUCACAUGUGGAGGUUUGGGAGAUGAGUGGGGUGGUGGACAUGGUUUGGGUGGUUUCACUAUGGGAGUGUGUUUUGGGGGCUUAGGAGAAGGAUAAGGGCAAUAAGGACAAGCAAGAACAUUGAGGAAGGUUGUGAGGUUAAGGAGAAGGAACAAUAGGACAUUAGCUAGGGCAAACUUUCCCAUGAUUCAAAGACGGUGUAGGGAAAGAGAAAGAUAAAUAUUGCAAUGAGUUUGUAAGAAUGAGGUUGUUCUUUUAUAUACGAGGAUCCAACCAUCAAACCCUAGUUUUCUUUUUCUUUUUCCUUUUCUCUUUCUCGUGAGUGUUGCUUCUGAUCACGGACAUGAGUUAUGGCAAUCAAUCAAUCUAGGUCUAAAUCACAUUCUUAGAAUUGGAAUUAAUUAUUCAUUUUUUGGGAUGAAUCAUUGACUUGAAGGACCGAAAAAUGCAUGCGAUGUAGGUGGGGCCCAGGUUGUGGCAGAACACAGAUAGAAGAAAAGAGAAACGAAAAGUGGGCCAUGGUGUUAUGGACAAAACUGCUAUUUGAAUUAGUCGAUGAAGAGGGGAAUCAAGAAAAAGCUGUGGUGAGCAAGAGGACAUUUUUGACUUGUAGUGACAAGUGGAAGUGGGGUUAUUCUGCCCGUGAUAGAAAAAAUGUUCAUACACAUCAAAGCCUUAUUAUGUAAACGUACUUUAUAAUUAGUCGUUUAACCCCUGACACUCUUGUCGCGUAAAACACCAUCUUUCUUUCAUUCGCUCCAAUAACCUCAAUAUGCAUUUAUAAUUUAUAUUAUUUUAUGUAAAUUAAAGUUAUUUCAAUAACUUUUUCAUAUUCGAACUCUGUUUGUAACAAUAAAACUACAAAUUGAGCCUAGGAUGGUAUACCUUCACUCAUUGAUCGGGAAUUUAACUAUGAUGUAAUUUUCAUAAUAGGUCAAUUAUAUAUAAAAAAUUAGAUUGAAAUAAUUUCCUGAAAAAGUAAUUAGAAUGAAUAAUAUAAAGAUCUAAAAAAAUUAGAAAUGAUAAUAAUUUAAAAAUAAUAAAACUUCAUUAUUUAAUAUUAAAUGAUUUAUAAAUAAUUUUGUUAUAAACGAAUUUUAUUAUUUUAAAAUACAUUAUCUCUUUAGAAAUUAUUUUUUUAGAGUUUUCUUCUCCUAUGCUCAUCUGUUUGAAUCAAAGGCUACCUAAGUGAUCUUAGUGGUACAACCUUCAAGUUUACUUGAUCAGUUUCUCUAAAUGAGUAAGUUAUUUUCUACUUUUUUUCUUUUGAUCAUGUUUCUGUGAGUUAUAGGUGCAUAUAGAGUUCUUUGAGCUGAUGAAGUCAUUUUAGCUCUUGUAGAGCAGAUUUGUUGAGAUUGUUAUAAGGGAAGCACUGGUUUAGCUGAACAUUAAUCUCAGAGUGCUCUGAUUUUUUAUGAUGACAACACAUUAUUAAUAACACAUGUAUUGUUAUGCGUUACAUGUUUAAUUCUUUAUUGGGAAUGAUAUCUUAAUGAACAUUUGUGUUGCUUCUGAUAUAUGUAUGCAUAUUCACUGAUUUGAUACUUGAUAAAUCUUUUGUGUUUGCAUUACAUAUGUUUAAGAAAAGAAAACUACAUUCACUUUGAUGAACUUAUACUUGAGGUAAAACUAUAAGUUUUAAGUCGAUUUCAUUAUGCAGUAAGUCGAUUAAAAUUUGGGACUUUGCACAAAUUUUAAAAAACAAUGUUGUGUGUGAUUUUGCAUUGAAAAGUAUUUCAAACUGAGUUGAAGUGUCUAAGUCGACUACAUGCACAACGAAUUCUACUUAGUUAUUUGAUUUGAAAUUCUAUUAAUGCUUGUGUGUUGUAACUACUAUAUUUCAACUCUAUGUUAAAGCAUUAAUUGAAAGUCAACUGAAUUAAAUGCGAAAUCAAUUUGGUUGUUAUGACUGCUGCUAAUUGUUUUAACUAUUAUAACUGUCUAAUGACAAUCAACUUCAUUAUUAGCAAAAUCGACUACAGGAGCGUCUGAUUUAUAGACGUGACUCAAUUGAUCACAUACGACUUUGGAUAUUCUAACACUUUCAUUUGAUUUUCAGAUUGUGAUCUCUAAGUAAAGGCUCUAAGAACUCAUCAAGAAGACGGUAGAGAUCUUUCUUGCAAGUGUUUCUUAAGGAGGAAGUGUAUUGCAUGUACUGUUUGAUCAAGAUCUACACAGUUGGUGUCAUCAUACUAAUCAAGUUUUCUAUCAAUCUUUGGAAAGAUUGUUGUUGUCCUGUUGGGAUUACAAGAGGUGGACUCGUGGAGUUCUGACACUUUGAGGAUUGUUCAAAGUGAGUUGAAGAUUGCAGAAGAGGGGAUAUCUUGCUGCAUAUCUUUGUGUUGGCUGCCUAUACUUUUAGUUAGAGGGUUAGAGAGAUUGUCUAUAUUUUUGACGUGGAGGUCUCUAUAGAAAUCUUGCUGUAAAAACCUUGACUAAUAUAUUGCAUUGGCUUCCUGGUUGUGAAAGGACACUAGAUGUAGGCAUUAAGGCCGAACCAGUAUAAAAACUCUGUGUUUGAUUUCUCUUUCCCUACACUUUUACAUUAAGUCGACUUUACAGUUUACGUAGUCAACUUUAUAUUUUCGCUGCAUGUUGGGGCAAAUCGACAAGUGUACCGAGUCGCACAAGUAAUAUAAAAUGGUAAGACGAAGUAUCAUAUCCUAGAGGACUCUCGACGCUGAACAGUUGUGUGAAAGCAUGAUUAAUUAAGACUUAAAAAAUAAAAAGAGAUAAUUGGGUUUGGCACAAAUAAAGCAAAAUAAAAUUGAUCAGUGGCAAAAAAGCACAGAGAUGAACGAAGAUUGAUUAAUAUGAGAUGGGUAUGUUGUUGGGGUUAGAUUUCACCAAGUUCCCUCUCAUGUAUAUAAGAAUUCUUCUUUAUGCAUUAAUGCCAACGUCCCUCACUAAAUCACUUAAACCCGAUCCCUUAGUAAAUAAGUCUGUCCCUAAUUACCAUUUCAUACAAUUCCUAACAUUCGUGGUAAAAAGAUGUGAAGAUCAAGAGGUUAAGACGACUAAGACUCAUACCCUCAUUCUUGAGCAAUAUAAUCCUUAGGAGUAAUUCAACAAGAACCUGAAUUAAAAGGAACCUCUUGACACUCAUGCAAUUCAUAGAUAACGCUAUUGUAUAAGCAAGAAUAAAAACAGAUGAAUUAAUCUAACAAUUAAUGAAAAAGCAUAUGAAAUUAAGAAUCAAUUCAAAUACAUGAGAGUUCACAAGGUUACAUCAUUCCCCAACAACAAAUAGAAAUUAGUUCCNUAUAGACAUGGGGGGAACUUUAUAAACAAUGGAAGAAACAAAGAGAAUGAAAGACUAAGAAUUGUCUAAUAGUGCAUGGCUAUACUCUUCUCUGUCAGGGAUGCAAAGCCUAGAGCCCCAGGGUCCUUUAAAUAGUGUCAAACGUGUCCCAGAGUGCAGCUCGGUCCAAAAGAAUCAAAACAGAGCUGAAACAGGGUCCGAUCCAUGUGAAAUCACGCCCAAGCGUCGCAGGGAGGACGCCCGGGCGAGAAUUGAAGCUCAUGUAAGACCUGGGCGUCAAAUUUGGACGCCCAAGCUACGAAGGUCCACCGCCCGGGUGUCGGGUGCCACCGCUCGGGCGACAAGCGUCGUUCCUGGUUGCUUGGUUUUCGCUCCUGGACGCUCGAGCUUCGCGUUUUCCCUCCUUCUGGAGUCUUUUUAGCCUCUUCUGAGCUCUAUCUUCUUGUUUUUUCACCUCUUCUUCUAGUAUUAUCUCAAUCUUUGCCAAAACAUGGGGAAUUUGUUAGAAAACUAUUGAAAUCAACCUCAACUCUCUUAUUCACACAUUUUAUUGAAAACACAUGAGUCCAAGCAAGUUUCUAAGUGAAAAGGGUGCUUUUAGUAUCAAAAUCACAUAACAAAUAACAGUGUUUUAAACCGUUAUCACAACCCCAAACUUAGAACUUUGCUUGUCCUCAAGCAAACAACUGUAACUCAGCUUUUCAGAACAAUCACAACAAUGACUCAACCUUUUUCAAAAACUUUUUCAAGACAAGGAAUUACUUUUAUCAAUUCAACAUGAAGGUCUCAGUCAAGAUGUGUAGAAUUCAAUCAAAAUUAAUGUGAUGCUCAGGUGCUAUCCUUAAGAAUGAUCAGUCAACCAAGCAAAGAUGCAAUAAAAAAUUCAGAGAACUAUUCCUCACUAGGUUCUUUUCUCACUUUUUCUUUUCUUUUCUUUUUGCCUUUGCUUUACAAUUGCUUUUUCUUUUGAUUGCUCACUGUCUAGAGAAGUGGGUUGUUACAUGGCAACUCCAAACUUGAACCUUUAUCAGUACCUCAUCAAAUGUUCUCAACUUAAUUCAAGGUAAAGAUAUUUCAAAAAGGUUAUUCAAGAUAUGCAUAAGGCUCAAGGUUCAAAGGUUAGAACAAAUUGUUCUCUUUUCAGUGGGCAAAAAUUAUUUGUAGGCUAAAAGAAUAAGGGAUAACAAUGUUGAGAUUGUUGACAACACAAACUCUAUAUCAAACUGGUUUUUGAUGAUGACAACACACUGCUUAAUAACAGUACAUAUGUUCCAGUGUUACANNNNNNNNNNNNNNNNNNNNNNNNNNNNNNNNNNNNNNNNNNNNNNNNNNNNNNNNNNNNNNNNNNNNNNNNNNNNNNNNNNNNNNNNNNNNNNNNNNNNNNNNNNNNNNNNNNNNNNNNNNNNNNNNNNNNNNNNNNNNNNNNNNNNNNNNNNNNNNNNNNNNNNNNNNNNNNNNNNNNNNNNNNNNNNNNNNNNNNNNNNNNNNNNNNNNNNNNNNNNNNNNNNNNNNNNNNNNNNNNNNNNNNNNNNNNNNNNNNNNNNNNNNNNNNAGUGAUUUUUCAUGUGUCAGUCGACAGUGUGAAACACUCAUUCGACUGUAUUGCUGUUAAUUUUGGAAUUCUGUUAUGCCUACUUGCUCCAACGACUAUAUUUUCAAAAGUUAGUUAGGAUUGACUAACUGGGUCAACUGUCAUGAAUGAGCAUUGAUUUGGUUGACUGAGGAGCCUUUAUGUUGACCGUCUGUUAUAACUGUUUUAAUAUAGUUGACUAGAUUAGUAGGCUAUUUGAUUGAGAAUGACAGGAAAACUAUAAGUAGAACAGAACACGAUUUGUUCUGAUACUUUUGUGAUCUAACUUUUUCAUUGUCCUGUUUCAAAGAAAUUUCUCAGUUUAGGAAGCUCCAAGAAUUCUCCAAGAAGACGGUGAUGAUCUUUCUUGAGAGAGAUUCAGAUUGAGGAGUCAAUUGCGCAUACUGUGAUGGGCUUGGCAUCCUGUGAAAAGUGCUGGUGACACGUUGAGGAUUGUUCAGCGUGGGUUCAGAUUGCAGAAGAGGGGAUUCUUGCUGCAAUUCUGGUUUUGUGUGUGUAGCUAUAUUUGGUUUUGGGUUAGAGAAGAGAUUUAUAUUUUUGCGUGGUGCUUCUAUAAAUUCCUUGUUGUAAAAACCGCAACCAUUAUAGUUCAUUUGCUUCCAAGGUUGGAAGGACACCGGAUGUAGGCAUUGUUGGCCAAACCAGUAUAAAAACCAGUGUUUAAUUUUCUCUUCCCUACACUCUUUAUUUCAGUCGACUAUAUCUGUUUAGGAGUCAACUACGUUUUUCCACUACACUGAAAUUUUUCAUUACUUGCAUUUCAAGGAAAGAUCAAAAGCUUUGAAUUUUUAUACCAAGAUUGCGAAAAGAUUUUGUUUUUGAACUAACACCAAUUCACCCCCCCCUUCUUGGUGUAAAACGAAGCCAACAUGUUUCCUAACAAUUGGCACUAGAGCUAGUUUUCAUAAAAUAUUUGAAAAUUCAGCCGACUUUGUUUCUAUUCUAUUCGACUGUAAAACUUGGGGAUGACUUCAAAUUUUCAAACUUUUGGUGAAGGUGCUUCAACAAAUAGACCACCUUUGUUUGCUGGUGAAAACUAUCCUUUUUGGAAAAUUCGCAUGCAGAUCUUUCUUGAAUCGCAAGAUAAGGGAAUUUUGGAUGCCACUUUAAAUGGUCCAUAUGUGCCUACAAAAACUGUUGAUAGUGAAACUCUUUUAAAACCUUUUACUGAGUGGACUGCUGAUGAAAAUAGAAAAGCUCAGUAUCUUGUUAAAGUUAGAAAUAUUAUUGCCUCUGCACUAACAAUUGAUGAAUUUUUCAGGAUAUCCCAAUGCAAGACUGCAAAAGAAAAUGUGGGAUGUUCUAGAGGUAACACAUGAAGGCACGGAUGAAAUCAAGAGAGCCAGGAAGAAUUCAUUGAUACAAGAAUGUGAGUUGUUUAGAAUGAAAGCUGGUGAGAACAUCUAUGAUGUCCAGAAAUGGUUCAAUCAUAUUGUAAACCACCUGAUGGCUCUUGGCAAAGCCUUUGAUAAAGAAGAGAUCAACAUCAAGAUUUUGAAAAGUCUGAACAAGAAUUGGCAACCAAAAGUCACUACAAUCUCUGAAUCCAAAGAUCUUAUAACUAUGAAUAUGGCUACCCUUUUUGGCAAGCUACGUGAACAUGAGUUAGAACUUGGUAGACUGAAGGAUGAAGAGGAGAUUGAAGAAAAGAAGUCCAUUGCUCUGAAGGCCACAAGUAAUAAUAUCACAAAAGCAGUGAUGGACGACAAAGAGCUGAUGACCUUGAUGGUAAGAAAAUUUAGUCGACUUAUGCAAAAUGAUAGUCAACUAUUUAACCAUGCAGGUCAAAGCAAGAAAAGCUUCAGCAUAAACACUUUCCAGUGCUAUGAAUGUGGUAAAGAAGGUCACAUCAAGCCUGACUGUCCCGAUUUACAGCCAAAGCAGAAAAGGAAGAAAAGAUUUCCUCAAGGAAGAAAUAUGAGAAAAAAAGGAGCCUACAUUGCUUGGGAGAAUUCUGAAUCUGAAAGCUCAAGUGAAGAGGAUUCUGACCAAGAGGAAAAAUCCAAUAUAUGUCACAUGGCUGGAACUGUAAAGACUGAGUAUGACAGUGAUGAAGAAUUUGAGAAGCUGCCUAUAGAAGAAAAGUAUCAACAGUUGAUUGAGACAUUCAGGGAAUUACAUGCUGAAGCAAUGCGACUGGAGUAUAAGGUUAAUCGACUGAACUCUGAGAAAAGAGAUUAUGAAUAUAGGAUUAAUAACCUUGUUACUGAAAAUGAAAGAUUAGAAAAGAAUUGGAUAUAGCCUUGUCAUCUGCUAGGAAUGUUGAAAUUAAAACUGUUACUGUUGAGGAAGCUUUGUAAAAUUGUCUUAUGCAUGUUGAAAAGAUUGAUUACUUGACUAGCAAGCUAGCUAAGUUUGCUCAAGCUAAUGACAAUUUAGAUGCUGUAUGGAAUUUCUCUAGUAGAAUUAAUAACAGGCAAGAAAUUGGAUUUAAAGGUUACUCUAACAGAACUAAUGCUAGAAAGCUUAAUGUUUUGAGAAAACUUGCUAGAAAUGCAUGUUUUUAUUGCAGAUGAGUUGGUCACACUGUUAGAAAUUGUUAUUAUAGACAUGUUGCUGUUCCUCAAGGAUUAUGUGUUUGGAUACCAAAGGAACAUGUGACAAGAACUGACAAUCAAGGACCCAAAGUUAAAUGGGUACCAGCAACCAAAACUUAACUAUUUUACAAGUUAUGCAGCUGAUACAGAACUGCUUUCAAGGAUGAAUUAACCGUGGAUUUUAUCAAACACCUUGAAUGUCUACAACUGGUAAUUUUGUAUCUAUCUGCUGCAUCAUGCAUACAUUGAUUGAAUGUUGUUGUAUGAUUGUUUGCAUCGUGUGAUUAAUUGUUUGAUUGAUUGAAUUUGUUUGAAAUGUUUAUAUGAGUCCCAGUUGACUCCCAUAUUAAUUCAAUCGACUUUGUUAUUUGUACAUUUGAAAAACACUAUUUAGUUUGAAAUUUAAAAAUUCCAUUUUGGUGAGAAAGAAAAAAUUUGGGGUUCCCUCCAAUUUGAUAUUCAAUAAAGAUAUGUUAAAAUCUUGGCAAUCAUAAAUCACUGCAUUCAACCUCAUUGAUCUUGUACUCUACUAUCCUCAUUUCAUCUGAAAGGGUCAUCAUUCAUCCUCAAACCUCAAUGUCUUUCGGAUCCACACCCAGGAGAAGGGUUAAGUCCAUGGCCGCUAGAUGCUCCAGAAGAGUGUAUGAUUUGAAUGGGUGGAUAAGCGAUGAUGAUGAUCAAUCAAAGUUUCUUGAUUGCUUGAAGAGGAGAACUCUUGUGAUACACAAAUUUCUUAAGCUAAAGUUAUUUAAGAAUGAAGAAUUUCGGUUUCAGAAGUGGAUUAAGAAUAAGGGGUUGAAGCAUUUUGUUGAAAUGGCAAGUCCGUGGUACCCAGACUUGGUAAAAGUCUUCUACUGCAAUCUAAAGAUUGUUGAUGACAUUCUCUGCUCUCGCGUUAAAGGAAUUGACAUCAAACUAACUGAUGAUGUCUGGAACAAGGUUAAUGGAUUGAGAAUCAGUGGUAAUAAAUGUCAUCUUGGAAUAAAUGGUUUUAACAAGCUUGAUGAAUAUCAACUGUGCCUGAGAAAUGCAGAUGAUCUUCAGGUAAACUCUAACUAUAAAACUGGUGGCAUGAAGAAAGACGAGAGAAUGACUAUCUAUACCAUUGCCUACAUUCUCAUGGCAAGGGGAGGAAAUUAUGCCCAAGCAACCGCUGAAGAUUUGAUGCUAUUGAAAGCUUUAAAGGAAAAUAUUCAGGUGGACUGGCCCGCGGCAAUUUCUGAUAAUAUGCUAAAAGUUACUAAAUCCAAAUUAGGGAAGCUACCAUACUGCAUCUUCAUUUCGAAAAUACUGAUUUACUGCGGAGUGGAAUGCAUUGGUGAAUCCAGUGAGCAAUAUCAUAACUCAAGCCUUGUGGACAAAACUGUUCUUCAUCUGAUGCACAUGGAGAAAACAUUCGAAGGCUGGAAAUACAAAGAUGAAAUCUGUAAUGGUGCACCAUCAACCUCUUAAGGAAAUAAAUACAGAGGAAAGAAUGAAUUUGAAAGGAUUGUUCUGAAGGAAUUGGCUGAGAUCAAGAGAUGGAUUAGUGAACAGAAAAACAACAGCCAAGAACAUGAGAACUCUGAAAAUAUUGGCUCCUCUGAAAGGUCAUCUCAAAGAAGUAAUGAUGACAGUGAAGAGACAAGAUCUGAGGAAAAUGCUAGUGAUAUGGUUCUUAAGACCUUCAUUAACUAGAAGAGAAAGAAAAACUAAAAGUCUUGUCCUAGUCUAAGUUUCAUUUUGUAAAAUGGCAUAAAAAGCCAUCUUUUGUUGCUUUUUAAUGUUUUGCUUGUGUUUCCUUGACCUGUUCUAUCAAUGUAAUAUCUUUCUAUCAAGGAAAUAAUACUAGAAGUUUGAAUCAAUCCUGUUACUUAACAAUUCACUUAAACUGUCAAAUAAAAUCUGAUACUCUAUUUGAUUGAUUCGACUGUGCUAUGACUGAAGUCAACUGUGCUAUAACUGUCAUGCAUUUUUAUAAAUUGACUUCUAUUAUGAUUUGAUUCUAUUCUUGCAUAACCAUUAUACUUGAUCUAGAAGAGGUUUUCUAAAAGGUUUUUGUAGGAAGAACAUUGCUUUGAACAUAUACAAUUGGGAUUCAACAUUUGGAAAAGCAAUGCAUUCGAUUAAUGAGUUAAAGCAUUCGACUGCGUCUAAACUAGGUUAAAAAUUCCAAUUUUGGAAUUUUCUUUUAUCCUUACUGACUACUUUAAUCAUUAGUAUACUAAUAUUAUCUCUGUUCUUUACAUGAUUUUAUAUCAAAAUUGAGAAAAUAUUGUGAGAUUGUUGAUAUUUGCGUCAUUGCUUAUAUAUGUGAUUGAAUUGUGUAUCAAUGAUACAAAUCUGUGCUUAAACUGGUGAUAGACUAGCGAUAUUCUGCAUUGUGCAACAAACUGUUUUUGAAAUUCAUGCAUAAUGACAGGGGGAGUAUCACUUCUUUACACAUUGUUUCAUCACACACCUACAUUUCCGAGGGGAGUUUACAUAUGCCAUUGUGAUGAACUUGUGAUUUAGGGAGCAUCAUUAUCUUUUUGAUACUGCAUAUUUGUUUGAUGCUUCUCUGCUUUUAAAACUGCAUAAAUAUCAAGCAUUCCUUUUUCGUUAAUGCACAAAGGGGGAGAGUUUUAAUGAGUGUAUGAGAGCAAGUCUAUAUGGGGAGAAUUGCUAUAUCAUACUUUAUUUGCUUGAUGAUAUUUUUGCUGUAUAUGGAAAAUAAAUGAAUUGUUUGUAUUAAUUUUGCUAUCUGUUUUACUCUAUCAUAUGCAGCACUGUGCAAACAUGGUUGAGUUAUUAAUCAUGGUUGUGCAUCAUCAAAAAACGGGGAGAUUGUUGAGAUUGUUGACAACACAAACUCUAUAUCAAACUGGUUUUUGAUNNNNNNNNNNNNNNNNNNNNNNNNNNNNNNNNNNNNNNNNNNNNNNNNNNNNNNNNNNNNNNNNNNNNNNNNNNNNNNNNNNNNNNNNNNNNNNNNNNNNNNNNNNNNNNNNNNNNNNNNNNNNNNNNNNNNNNNNNNNNNNNNNNNNNNNNNNNNNNNNNNNNNNNNNNNNNNNNNNNNNNNNNNNNNNNNNNNNNNNNNNNNNNNNNNNNNNNNNNNNNNNNNNNNNNNNNNNNNNNNNNNNNNNNNNNNNNNNNNNNNNNNNNNNNNNNNNNNNNNNNNNNNNNNNNNNNNNNNNNNNNNNNNNNNNNNNNNNNNNNNNNNNNNNNNNNNNNNNNNNNNNNNNNNNNNNNNNNNNNNNNNNNNNNNNNNNNNNNNNNNNNNNNNNNNNNNNNNNNNNNNNNNNNNNNNNNNNNNNNNNNNNNNNNNNNNNNNNNNNNNNNNNNNNNNNNNNNNNNNNAGUGAUUUUUCAUGUGUCAGUCGACAGUGUGAAACACUCAUUCGACUGUAUUGCUGUUAAUUUUGGAAUUCUGUUAUGCCUACUUGCUCCAACGAUUAUAUUUUCAAAAGUUAGUUAGGAUUGACUAACUGGGUCAACUGUCAUGAAUAAGCAUUGAUUUGGUUGACUGAGGAGCCUUUAUGUUGACUGUAUGUUAUAACUAUUUUAAUACAGUCGACUGGAUUAGUAGGCUAUUCGACUGAGAAUUACAGGAAAACUAUAAAUAGAACAGAACACGAUUUGUUCUGAGACUUUUGUGAUCUAACUUUUUCAUUGUCCUGUUUCAGAGAAAAUUCUCAGUUUAGGAAGCUCCAAGAAUUCUCCAAGAAGACGGUGGUGAUGUUUCUUGAGAGAGAUUAAGAUUGAGGAGUCAAUUGUGCAUACUAUUUGAUCAACAUCUGCACAAAGAAGGUGCUUUAUGUUUGAUCUUGAUGGCUUGGCAUCCUGUGAAAACUGCUGUAUUUGACUGAAGGCUUGGCAACCUGUGAAGUGUGUUGUGAUAGGCUUGGCAACCUGUGAAGCGUGUUGUGGCUUAGCAUCUUGUGAAGAGUGCUGGUGACACGUUGAGGAUUGUUCAGCGUGGGUUCAGAUUGCAGAAGAGGGGAUUCUUGCUGCAAUUCUAGUUUUGUGUGUGCAACUAUAUUUGGUUUUGGGUUAGAGAGGAGAUUUAUAUUUUUGCGUGGUGCUUCUAUAAAUUCCUUGUUGUAAAAACCACAACUAUUAUAGUGCAUUUGCUUCCAAGGAAGGAAGGACAUUGGAUGUAGGCAUUGUUGGCCGAACCAGUAUAAAAACCAGUGUUUGAUUUUCUCUUCCCUGCACUCUUUAUUUCAGUCGACUACUGUUUAGCGGUCAACUACGUUUUUUCCCUGCACUGAAAUUUUUCAUUACUUGCAUUUCAAGGAAAGAUCAAAAGCUUUGAAUUUUCAUACCAAGAUUGCGAAAAGAUUUUGUUUUUGAACUAACACCAAUUCCCCCCCCCCUCUUGGUGUAAAACGAAGCCAACCUGUUUCCUAACAAACAAAAGAUGGCCUUGAUCAUACGAAACCUGUAAGCAAGUAGUUUAAUCGUAGAAAAUUUGGGCAAAAUCAUUCAUGCUUCCAAAGUAACAACAAUUAUUUAAAAACAACUCUGAAGCUCAAAACUCACAUAGGUAAACUCAUAAAUUCUCAAAUUUAGAAAAACAUCCUGCUCAUUAUUUUAAUUAGACUUUAUUUUAAGCACCUGUCUCACAAAUUGGGAUUUAUCAUCAUGCAUCAUCUCAACCUCAAUCAAGUACUAGAAUCUCAUAAAGCAAAACUUAUCACAUAAAAUAGAGCAUGGUUGAAUCAAAGCUGUUCAGUUCAUUCAAGUAGAGCACAAUAAAAAUAGAAUGAAAUAAAAACACACAUUAAAGCAAAAAACAAAAAUUAGAAGUAAAAGUUCAGAGCACUGGGUUGCCUCCCAACAAGCACUUCUUUAUCGUCACUAGCUUGACCCAAUAAGCGCAUGUCACAUAUUUUAUUUUGGUGUCAUCUUUUCCUUCAACACACCAAUUGGUCUUCAGCAUUUUCCUGUUCACCUUCUUGGUUCUCGUAGAAGUAGGAGAUUCAAUCUCUAUCAACCCAUCAACUCUGAGUUUUUUUUAUUGAACUGUACAGGCAAGCCUGGUCUCAGUCUUCAUGGUCCGUUGGAGGCUUUUGGUGAACAUCUCCUUUGCUAUCUUUCUUCGCUUCAUUCACCUGUGACAGGAAACACUUUUUACCUUUCUUUUUUGAUUUGGUGGCUCUGGUACCAAUCCUGGGAUGCAUCUUUAAAUGCGGCUUUGGGACUAGUUUUCUUUACUUGAGUUUGCCGCCUAGUAUUGCAGGCAUUGAAGAUCACCUCCUCUUCUUGGUCCUUGAGAGCUAUAGUACCCUCAUCAAUAUUGAUGAUUACUUUGAUUGUCUUCAUGAACAGUCUUCUAAGAAUAAUAGGGAUAUCUGCAUUUUCCUCCAUCUCUAAUGCCACAAAGUCCACCAGAAACCUCAAGUUGGCGAUUUGCACCAUGACAUCUUCUACCACACCAUAGGGUCUUUUAGGGGAUCCAUCUGCCAUGAGGAGAGACAUCCUUGCCGGCUUAACUUUUAAGUCACCAAUCUUUUUGAGAACAGUUAAGUGCAUCAAAUUGAUACUGGACCCCAAAUCAAUUAAGACUUUCCCUAUUUUGUGGUUUCCAAUGUUGCAGGAAAUAGUAAAACUUCCUAGGUCUUCUACCUUUUGAGGAAGUGCCUUAUGCAAGAUCACACUGCAAUUCCCUUAUAUUUUAGUUGUCUCUACUUUUAAAUUUUUCUUUUUCUUGAGGAGCUUCUCUAAAAAUUCUUUAUAUUCAGGGAUCUGUUGUAGAGUCACUUUCACAGGAAUUUCUAUCCCCCAUUCUUUGGAGAUUUCUUCAAAACACCCUGCCUCCAUCUCUCUGGUGGCAUGUUCCUUAGGGUGGCAGACAUUUUUCUCACUUUUUUUAUUUUUUUCUUUUUCUUCUUUUUUUCUCUCAACCUCUUCUUUUUUAAUCUCACUUUUUUCUUCACUCUCAAUUUUUUUCUCUUUCUCAAUUUUUUUUGUCUCUUCUCUUUUUCCUCACUUUCUUUUUCUUCUCCCUCUUUUUCUCUCUCAUUUUCCAUGCUUGCUAUAGCCUUACAUUCCUCUUUGGGGGUUAACUUCAGUAUUAGCCCCAAAAUCUUUGAAAGGCAUCUCUUUAAGUUGUUGGGCUAUUUGGCCAACCUGUAUCUCCAAGUUUUUGAUGGCAACAUCUGUGCUCUUUUGUGUGGACAAUGUUGCCUGCAUGAAUUGUUGGAGGGUUUCUUCAAGCUUUCUGGUUCUAUCAGGCAAAAAGGGUUGUUGUUGCCAUUGUUGUUGCUGUUGUGGUGGUCUAUUGAAUUUCCCACCAAUUUGCUCAAGUGGACCCUGUCCAUUGCUUAGGUGAGAUCUCCACCCUUGAUUGUAAUUAUUGGGACAGAACUGGUUCUGGUUGCCCAUGUAGUUAACUUCUUCCUUAAGAUUCUCAGACACUGCAAAUUGACCAUUAAUAUGGUCACCACCACAUAACUCAGAAAGCUGUUGUUGAAUAUGUGCUACGUUCUUAUGUUCCUUUUGUGGUUGCAUCACCUUCUUAGUCAGGAUCUCCAAUUGUUGAGUGAUGAUCUUAUUUUGGGCGAGCAAGGCAUCAGAAGGCUGUAAUGGAAAAACUCCUUUAGGUUGAGCAGGAGCUCCUCUCUCACUGUGCAUCUCAUUGUCAUUGGCAGCCAUGUUCGCAAUUAAUUCAUAGGCCUCAUCAGGGGUCUUGCAUUUGAUAUUGCCUCCAGCUGAGGCAUCCAACAUCAAAUUAGUUUGUGAUUCAAGGCCUCCAAGGAAAAGAAUGACUACCGUUCCUUCAUCAAUACCAUGGGUAAGCGUCUUUCUUAGUAAGCUUUUGUAUCUAUCCCAUGCCUGUCCCAAGGUUUCCUUCAUGCCUUGUCUGAAAGAAGAGAUCUCCUACUUCCCUUUGUUAGUCUUUGAUUGUGGGAAGUAUUUGUUGAGGAACUUUGUAACCACAUCUUCCCACUGAGUGAAACUGUUUUCAAGAAAAGAGUUCAACCAUAAUUUAGCAUUACCUCCAAGAGAAAAGGGGAAUAGGCUCAGUUUUAUAGCCUCAUUUGGUACCCCAUUUAUCUUUAUAGUGUUGCAGAUCUCAUUGAAGGUGGUCAAGUGCUCAUAUGGACUUUCAUGGGACAGUCCAUUGAAUUGGUUGCUCUUCACAAGGUGGAUCAAGGUAGGCUUCACCUACAUAUUUGUAGCAUUGACCCUUGGCUUUGUAGUGCUGUUAAAAUGAUGAGGGCCAACAAUUGUGGUAUAAUAUGCCAAGGUGCGCUUGCUAGCAUUGGUCUCCGCACCUCCUUCACCAGUUUGGGAAGCCAUUGAAUUUUUCUCUAGAGAAGGUUCUCUAGAUAAUCUAUUUCUCUUGGCCUCCUACUGGUCUCAAGCCCUUCAAGAAGAGGCUCAGGAUUUUUAUUGCUUCUAGUUCUCACACAAUCCUGCAUAAACAAAACACAAAACCACAGAAAAUAUUGUUAGCACAAAAAUAAAAAUAGAAAUGAGGGAUUGAAAAAUAAAAAUCAAAAAUAAAAAUGGAAAAAUAAAAAUGAGAAAAUAAAAUAAAGUCAAAAUUAAUCAAGGAUCACACAAAUAGAAUAGCUUAAACUGUGAGUCCCCGGCAACGGCGCCAAAAACUUUUUGGGGCAAAUUGACAAGUGUAUCGAGUUGCACAAGUAAUAUAAAAUGGUAAGACCAAGUAUCGUAUCCCAGAGGACUCUCGAUGAUGAGCAAUUGUGUGAAAACAAGAUUAAUUAAGAUUUAAAAAAUAAAAAGAGAUAAUUGGGUUUGGCACAAAUAAAGCAAAAUAAAAUUGAUCAGUGGAAAAAGAGCACAUAGAUGAACGAAGAUUGAUUAAUUUGAGAUGGGUAUGUCGUUGGGGUUAGAUUUCACUAAGUCCCCUCUCAUGUAAAUUCUUCUUUAUGCAUUAAUGCCAACGUCCCUCACUAAAUCACUUAAACCCGAUCCCUCGGUAAAUAAGCCUAUCCCUAAUUACCAGUUCAUACAAUUCCUAGCAUUCCUGGUAAAAGGAUGUGAAGAUCAAGAGGUUAAGACGAUUAAGACUUAUACCCUCAUUAUUGAUCAAUAUAACCCUUAAAAGUAAUUCAACAAGAACCUAAAUUGAAAUGAACCUCCCGACACUCAUGCAAUUCAUAGAUAAUGCUAUUGUAUAAGUAAGAAUAAAAACAGAUGAAUUACUCUAACAAUUAAUGAAAAAGCAUAUGAAAUUAAGAAUCAAUUCAAAUACAUGAGAGUUCACAAGGUUACAUCAUUCCCCAACAACAAAUAGAAAUUAGUUCCCCACAGGCAUAGGGGAACUCUAUGAACAAUGUAAGAAAGAAAGAGAACGGAAGACUAAGAAUUGGCUAACAACCAUUUAACAACCAUUUUUGGAUAUGUCAAAAAUUUAACAACCACAUAACAAAACAAGUAUCUACUUAGAAACUACAGCUUACUCCCUGAUAACGGUUGAUUUUACCAUUCUCUGUAACUUAAUUUUGAUACUAAAUGAAGCCUUUUUGACUUAGAAACUUGCUUAAAUCCCUUGUUUUUGGUUAAGUUAUGAAUAAAGAUAGUUGAGGUUAUACUUUAUGAUUUUAUCACUAAUUCCCUUGAUUUUGUAGGAAAUUUGGAUGAUUUGGAAGACGAGUUGAAGUAUCAAGGAGUUGGAACUCAGAUAGGACUGAAAAAGCAUCAGAAAGGAAGAUCGUAGGACGCCUGAGCGCCAUCAACGCCAAAGGCUCGCAUUGACGCCUGACUGCCCCUUUCUAAAGGCACUCAACGCUAAAGACUCGCAGUCACGCCUGGGUGCCCUUUCUUGGGCGUUGAGUAUGAACUCCAGUGUGCUGCAUCACGCAUGGGUGCCCUUCUAGGGGCGUUGGGUGCCAGUUUCUCGCAAUAUUGGAUGCAGUAGCAAUCCUUUUCGGUUUUUUGGGUUUAUCUUUCAUUCUUUUUCCAUUGUACAUCUAGUUUCACCAUAGCAAUAGGGAACUAAUUUCUAUUUGUUGUUGGGGGAUGAUGUAACCUUGUGAACUCUCAUGUAUUUGAAUUGAUUUUAAUUGGUAUAUGCUUCUUUCAUUAUUUUUUAGGUUUUUUCCUCUAUACUCUAUGCAUUGUUGUGUUUAACUCAUUCACAACAUAAUUAUUAGUUUCUAUGAUAUGGACACAAACGAAGAAAUCUAGAUCUAGGAAAUUUCUCCCAAGGUAACUAUUGCCUAGACAUAGGGAUAAAAUGCUUGGUUAUCUUAAUCUUCUACUCGUAAUGCACAAUUAAUUAUUAGGGAGACAAGACAUUGUGAUAUAGUAAUUAAGGAUAGGCUUUCUUUGCCGAGACAUCGAGUUUUAAGUAAUUUAGAAAGUGGUAUUAACAUUAAUGAAGAAGAUGAAUUCUUAUAUGCAUGAGAGUAAACUAGGUGAAAUCUAAACCCCCAAAAAUAAUUAUACCAUGUCAAUAUUAAAUUAUACCAUGCAAAAAAAAAUGCCCUGUAAAUAAAUAUUUUACCCUAAACAUAGGACUGAAUACAAUCCUCUUUAUUACUCCAGACAACCUUUUCUCAAAGUACAUGAAAAUUGUUGCUGCAAAAAUUAACGCCUACAAAACAAUAAACAAAUUUAACAUCAACAUAUUCAACUUUGUAACUUGAAUAACAACAACAUUAAUUAAAGUCAAGUAAGUGUAUAAUUACCAGGUUGUCUACACAUUGCCUUGGCCCUAAAGAGAUACAUUCAUUAGUGGUCAACAAUUGACCCAUUAUUAUAGAGACAUAGCUGAAAAAUCAUCAAUUUUACAAUCACGUACCAAUAUCCUUGUUCAAUUAUAAAAAUAAACAUUAUUAUGUUACCUCCGUGGAAUGUCUCUUCGCGUCACUGAGUUGUACAACUUAUCUAAAUCCACCGUUGAUGAAGGACCACCAACAUAAGUACACAAAGGCGGUACAAACAAGGGCUCAACAUGAACAUCUCCUUCACCAUCAUCAACAACGUUAAUGACAAUUGAUGGAUGGUCAUGGGCUACACCUUCUUCUUCUUGAACCGCUUCACUUGCAGGUUCUUCAUGUGCUUCACCUACAGGUUAUUCAUAGCCUUCAUGUGCACCUUCUUCAUUCCCCUGACCCUCAACAUCACCACCAGCUUCAUGACCUGGAGGAUAUUGUUCUACCUUUUGAGAGUUUCGACGAUGACGAAGUUCCUUCCUAAUAGUCGCAAUAUUAUCUCUUAGAUUUCUUAUCUUCAAGUUGUUUGUUCUAAUUUUUUUCCUCGGCAGCUAAUUGCCAAGUUUCGUCAUCUUCUUUUUCAGGUCGUUCUUCUUCACGCCUGCAACCUUGAGGCCUUUCUACCUCAUCCUUAUUGAAAGCACCACGGCUGAGGGGCAUUCAACCAUCAUUAUCACUAAGGUACCAAUAAAAAUGUACCUAUAACAAUGAAAAAUAAAACCUCAAUCAAAUAACAACAAUAAAAAUCAUAAAAAUAAUAAUAUAAGAUGUUAACAAACAAACUUACAAACCACGGUGAAACCACGAAAUAGGGAGAAAUGGGUUAACACAAGCGAUGCGUGAGACAGAGAGCGACGAAAUGGUGCGAAAAGACGAAACUUUGCGAGAAAUAAGGGCAAUGAAACCACGCUCAACCUUGGGAGAAAUAACACCAAGGAAACCACAGUGAAGCCACAAAAUAGGGGGAAAUUGGUUUUCACAAACAAGUCGCGAGACAGAGAGCGACACAAUGAUCCACAACGACUGUGCGCAAAUACGAAACCUUGCGAUGUGAAACCACGAUCAAACGAAGAAAAAGAAGCAAUGUGCGAGACAAAGAGACAGGGAAAUGCACUGAACAUAGUGACCAAAUGAAACAACAAUCGAGCAAGUAAGUCGAAAGAUGAAAGCACUUCAAUGAUGGAGAGAGAGUUCACAAAAGUCCAAUAGAGUAAUGAACAAGACAAAAGGGUUUGUGAAUAUUCUUUCACUGAUGAAAGCGCCAAAAGAGAUUAUGAAAAUUCUUUCCAAAAAAGCCCUCGAAGACAAACUCCACCUUUUGGAAAAAAAAAAAUUCAUUAAAACAACCAAUGACAAUGGUGGGCUUCAUUAAAUUGUUGUCAAAAAUUGGUUGUUAAAGAAGCGUUUCCCAUUCCCUAAUUCAUUUGUUCACACCAAAUGAUGGGCUUUAGCAGCCCCACCAACACCUCAUAAAAAAAAAAGACCAGAACUGAGCUAGGUGCCUUACGUGAGACUCGAGCACAGUUCAAAAGUUUUCCACGCUUUCAAGUAACCACCAAAACUACUAAACCAAGGCCCUUUAGUUGAUAACAUAAUAUAAACAUCAACAUAUAACCGCACCUUAAAGAAUUUCAAGAAUUUAAAUAAAACCAAAAUAAAUUAAUUUAUUAUUCACUUUCAUCACACUUUCCUCAUUCAACAACACACCACAAUCAAACAUUUAAUAACCCUAGUAAAUUUGCAGUUGAGCAUGCAAAAAACCCUAGUAGAAUCAUUUGUCCUUACUUGCAGUGUUGUCAUUUAAAGGUAGAUAACAUAGAUGAGUUAUAAGAGCAUUUAAUAUGCAAUGGAAAUAAAUAAGUAAUGAUCACUCUAACAUUCUGAGUCAAGCUUUAUGUCGCCCAGAGUAUCCAGGUCAUGUUAGAGGAAUGGGAUUUGGAGUCGGUCAUAGAGAUUAUUUCCCGUCCAAAAAGCGCCAUACGCACCAUGAGCAUGAUAAAUUAACUGCCCAAGUGAAAGACAUAUUGGAAAGAAUGACACGAAUGGAAAAUGAGAUGAUUUCGCUUUGAAAAAUUGGCUCACCAAAUACUACUGAAGGAACUAAUAUUAAUAUUGGCCAAGGGAGUUGCACAUUGUCAUCAAAUAAUUUUACCAAGGUAAGUAACUUAUCUACAUUACUUUCAUUAUUACUUUAAUUUGGUUACUUUAAACUUUCAUAGGUCUUCAUAUUUAGUCACAUUGAAGAUUGUCUUAUAAUUAUGUUUUAUAAUGUAGGGGGUCUCAAAAUGUAAAUUGUUAAGGGAUAACAUGGUAGACCUCUACCUAAGGGAUAUGUCAAAAUUAGUAUAAAUAUUGCUUUGGAGCCAAUUGUAUCCUUGCUUAUACUUAUUGUUGAUGAUGACAUGAUGACAAUAAGACAAGGAAUAGGUACAUUUGUCGCAUGGCCAAUCAAUUUCAUACAAAUUGGUGAUUUGGUAUGUUUAUACAAUUGUAUUCAUUCAUAUUUAUGAACAUAUUUUAUUUAUUACCUAACUUCUUUAAUUGAUGAUGUUUUAGGAAUCUACUCAACCUAAAAAGAAAAAGAUGAAUAAUAGAAAUGAAUGUGGUGCACUGAAAAAGAAAUGUCAAGGGAAAAUGUUCAUUCAACAUAGUCCUCAUAAACUAUUUCAUCCUAAUAUUCCUGAAUGGCUCAAUUGCCUUUCUUCAUACAUAAAACUAAAGUCAUCAGAGUCACUUCAUCCAGUACAAAUGGACAAAAACAUAUUUGGGCUAGAUAUUCAUAAAGAAAUCGUUAAUGCAGAAAUUAUUAAAGAAGUUACAGCCUAUGCAUGGCUAGGUGCAACUACAAUUUCUAUAUAGAUCGAGUACAACAUAUAGUUCUUUUUAUCAUUAACUUCAUUCUUAGAUUAUCAUAUUGCUAAUACAUUUUUAUAUUUUUCUUUUAUAAGGUACCUAUAUCAAAAUUUUGUUAAGCUAAAUGAUAAGGUGUUCUUUUUUUUAUCACCCCAAAUCACGACCUACCAAUGAAAGACAAAAUGCAAAAAAUAGUUACUCUUUUUCUUGAUAAUGGGAUGAUUGAUAAGUUUGUUCUUGCACCUAUGAAUACCAGGUAAUAUUGUACUUUACAACUUUAUCAACAAUGUAUUAUUUUCAAAGUUAGAUGUACAAAUUCUAGUUUUGUUGAUUCAUUUAAAAUUGUAGCCAACAUUGGGUCUUGCUGGGAAUCAAUCUUAAACGUAAGAUAAUUCAUUAUCUUGACCCAAUGGUGGUAGACAUUAGUAUGAGGCAAGAUUUGAAGAAAUUGCUUGACAUGUAAGAAUAUAUGGGUUGUAUACUUUUAGUUGAUAUAUAUAUAUAUAUAUAUAUAUAUAUAUAUAUAUAUAUAUAUAUAUAUAUAUAUAUAUAUAUACACACACACACACAGACACACACACAUACACACUUUUAGUUGUAUUGUUUUUACUUAUAGAUGAUUUAAUUUUAUUUUUUCACUAGGGUUAUACAAACCUAUCGAGCUCAAACAGAAUACAUGGUUUCAAAGUCUAAGUCAAACAAUAUCAAUUGGACAACAAUUAAGGUACAUUACUCUAGUAUGUUUUGUGUAGCAUAAUCUUGAUUGUGAUAAUUAAAUUUUUGAAUGACCUUAUGUGACCAUUAGUUCACAUUAUGGUUGCUUGCAUUCUACUGGUUAGGUGUACAACUUGUAUUCUUGAAUGGUUGAAGAUAUAUUUCCUUGUUGCAUGGUAUUGGUUAGUUAAAUAACUUGUGUUAUUGUGAAACUGGUUGGAGGAGUAUACAGUUGUAAUGAAAGCAUGACUUACUAUUAAGAGUUUAAACUUGUAUAUGAUAUAUAGUUAUUUGUUAUCAUGCACUCAAUCUGUUUGGAGUAUACUAGAGUUUUGGUUAUUUUUUAUGUUCAAAUUAUAAAGAUGUUUUUUAAUUUUGGUUUUCUAGUGUCUAAGACAAGCCAAUGACAAUGGUUGUGGGUAUUACGUGUGUCAAUAUAUGAAGGAAAUUAUCACAUACUGUGAAGGAGGAAAAAUCCCAACUGAUGUAAGUUAUCUUUAUUGUCAUAAUUAAUUUGUAGUAAAAUUUAAUUAACUAAUUCUAUAUUAUUUUUCUUUCUUGUAGUAUUUUUCUAGUUGUAGAUGUCAACAAUAUCGUGAAACUCAAAUCAUUGAAGUUAGGGAAAAUCGGUGUUUAUAUGUAAUUAGUACAUGAUUAUAGGUUAUGUUAUCGUGAUGUACAUGCUUAUAAGUAUUGAUAAGAUAUAUAUGUUAUGAUUGUAUAUCAUGUCAUGGAACGUACUAAACGACUGAACGAUUAAAUUUUGAAAUAUUAUUGCACAAACAAUUUUUAUUCAUAUUAAUGAACAUUCUUUCGAGACAUCUAUCAUAUUUUUCUCAAUAUUAUAUAUAUUUUUUUAUAAUAGAACCAAUACAUAGUGUGAGUUUGUACAUAAUAGAACCAAUAUUUUAUAUUUUAUUCUAAAAUUAAUUUUGUUGUUUAAAUUUAGACUAAUAGAUAAUGUUUUUUUUUUAAAUAAGCGUUAUCUGUUGUAAGAGACCAAUAGAUAACGCUUCUUUAAAAAGCGCUAUCUAUUGUUAGCCACCAAUAGAUACUCCUUCUUUAAAAAAGCGUUAUCUAUCCACUAGUGGAAAAAUAGCUUUUUGUGACGAUCCUAUUAUAAUGAAUAAAAAUUAUCCGUUAUAAUAGGUUGACCGGUGGCAGAAUGGUAAUAAAAAUAAGACAUAUUAUAACGUAGUUUUGUAAAUCAGUUAUAAUAUGAAACGCNAUGGCAAACUUGUAAAUAAGUUUAAGACAUUAUAACGUAGUUUUGUAAAUCAGUUAUAAUAUGAAACAUAAUGGCAAACUUGUAAAUAAGUUUAUAACCUAUUAUAACGGAGUUUUAGAAAUCAGUUAUAAUAUCUCCUCCUUUCUAGUUUUUCAUAUUUCCCUAAUUUCAUUUCAAUGUUCCCCUCAUCUCGUUCCUCUCCCGCUCUUCGUGUCGAAAGCUCCGAACACUCCGCUCUUCGUCUCUUCCUUCGUGUCUAAAGAACCAUCUGUAAGACCAAUGAAAAAUGUCUAUUUUAAUAAAGAGUAGUAAAUUUUAGCAUUAUUAUUAGUAAUAAUAAUUUUAAAGGAUCAAAAAUAUAUGAUAGAGAAUUAUAUUAAUUUAAGAAGGAGGGGUUUAAAAUUUCUAGAACCUAUUUUAAAAGUUUCUCUUUAAAAAAAAUUGAAUAGUAAAAAAAAUUAAUAGUGCCCAAGGAUAAGCAUUCCACGUUGGUGCCAAGAGUGAUCAGAUAUGUUUAGGUGCAAAUGGGAUUAAAAUAUUAUUUUUUUAAUAAAGGCUUAAUACCGCUUUUGGUCCCAUGUUUGGGGGGUUGUGUUCAAUGUGGUCCUACCUUUUUUUCCCUUAUGAAUAGAUCCCACCUUUUGAAAAAUUCGUUCAAUUGAGUCCUUUUGCCUUACGGCGUCAGUUUUCUAACGGAGCUGGUUCCCCCUGGAUAAACCUUAGCAACGUGGCAAGAUAAUGUGACUGCGUGGCACUGUGGUUCACCAUUGUCACCGUCAACUUUAAUCUUCACUGUUGACCCUGGGUUACACCUCAUCACCUCAUGUCCAUAGUCAUAGAUCCUUCUAAACUGUUCUUUGUAAUCUAUUUCCAGUUGUCGGGUUGCAAUCAACUUUGCCCUCCUUGCCUUGGAAAUUGAAACAUUCUUAUUCCAUUUCCUUAAAGCUUUACUACGUAUGUCUUUCACUUUGAGACUAGGAUUGUCCAUUAAAGACUUAUCAAUCUCCUGACUCAACCACUUAACAUUCAUCAUUUUAAUGUUAAGUUGCCUACUACACGUAUGGGUGUCAAUAAUCUUCCUCAAUUGCCAAAUUUUACGUGAUGGCAAAUACCCACAAUAAGCCACCCAUGGGCACUUUCCUUGGCCAACCAAGCAUCUUACCCUCACCCUACGUUUAUCAUUUUUCACAAAUUUAAGAGACCUCCCAGCAUGCACAGAAUAGCUUCGUAUGGCAUCCUUAAAGUCUUCCUUAUCUAUAAAUAUUGUGCCCACUUGCCACCUAUAAUCUGCCAUUGAUUUCUGUUUUACAUACUUUGAAAAGGGGCCACUUGGCACUCUAUCCUCGAUGUCAUCCUCAUCACUUCCACUAUUUUGUGGCGUUAAAAGCACAUCAGACUCCCAUUCAUCAUCUGACAAUCCCCUUCCAAUUGGUUGUGCUUCAUCAUCACUGUGUUCAACCACGUACUCAUCACCACUCGAAUCCUCUAUUCCUAGUUCAUCCUCACUGUCGUCUUCCACUUCUUCUUCAUCAGUCUCAAUUGCUUCUUCUUCAAUCUGAACUUCUUCUUCUUCAUCAGUAUGACCUCCUACUUUUUCAAUCUGAACUUCUUCUUCUGCACUGUGAACUUGUUCUUGACUUUGAACAUCAACUCCAACAUCACUGUCAUGUACCACUUCUUCAUUUACAACCUCAACUCGACCCUCAACACAGUCAUUCUCAACUAGCACUUCUUCUUUCUCAACCUCAUCUCGACCUUCACACUCAUUCUCAACCUGAAAUGGNGNNUCAACACCAACACCCUCAAUAUGAACCUCAGCUCCACCCUCAUUUUCAACCUCCACUGCUCCUUCCAUAUGAACAUCACUNUCAACUGCCACUUCUUCUUUCUCAACAUCAUCUCGACCUUCACACUCAUUCUCAACCUCAGCUCCACCCUCAUUAUCAACAUCCAAUCCAUCCUCAAUAGCCUUAUGUUGUUGCACUUCCUCGUCCCCAACCCCACUACCCUCACCACUGUCUGUUGGUCCUUCACAUAAGUACAACACAUCAUUCACAUUGUUUUCUACUACCUCUGGAUUGUCCACCCCAUGAACAACAAACAGGUUAACUUUUCCUAAAUAAUGAGCCACCUUCAGCAUGGUCAUAGCUUCUUUAUCAUCAUACAACUUGUGUAAUACAUGUUGAACACUGUAAUAUAACUCUGAUACUUGCAUGUAACCCGUGUGCUUAAGUGAACCCACUAUUCCAAAAUAACACCAUUUGUCGGGGUCAACCUCCCAAUAUGUUAUCUCCCCACCUAUAUACUUAAAUGGCACGUCUUUUAUCAAGGUCCCACCGUGGUGGGCCACUACCUGAAACCUCUCAACAGACAUCCCAACCCUAACCCUGCAAAUGCAAAAGGGGACCACUACAUUAACUUAAAGAAUGACCUAUGGGACCACUAUCAACCCCAAUAAUGCGACAACUAGUCCCAUAUAACAGAACCCAAUUUCACCCCAUACGUAAACCCCCCACAACGCGACAACAUUCAAAAACAAAUAUUUCAUGGAAUUCACAAAAUUGACAGAACAGAACAUAAAGACUUACCUCAGUGACGCUUUCCCAUUCGCAAUGCAAGGACAACAACUCCAAUUUGAACUUCGAUCUUCACCACAAGGGAUAAUCCGAAAUCGCGAAUUGAAAUGGAACCCUAACCCAGAAAGUGAUAACCCUCUUUUUAACCCCUCUUCACCAUAAAGGGAUAAUUCUGAACUUUUUUAACCCUUUUUUUUUUCAUUUUUCUAAUUUACACGUAAACAAGUCUUACACUGCCACGUUGCUAAGGUUUAUCCAGGGGGGCACCAGCACCGUUAAAAAACUGACGCCGUAAGGCAAAAGGACUCAAUUGAACAAAUUUUUCAAAAUGUGGGAUCUAUUGAUAAGGAAAAAAAAGGUAGGACCACAUUGAACACAACCCCCCAAACAUGGGACCAAAAGUGGUAUUAAGCCUUUAAUAAAAUAAUAUUUAAAAUAAAUAAAUAAAAAAUUUAAAAAACUUUUGAAUAGUAAAAAUUUUUAGCUAUAAAUAGCCAAGGGGGGAAGAAGUGUUGAGAUUGUUGACAACACAAACUCUAUAUCAAACUAGUUUUUGAUGAUGACAAGGGUAAUUAUCGAGAAAUUGGAAUAAACAGAAUGAACAGAAGUGUCUGAAUACAACACCGGACGUAAUUCUGCAAAUGUGUGAAUCAUGCAAUAAGAUACCAUAUUGGGAACACUUUCGAUAAGAGCCUCACCGACUCUUUCUAACUUUAGUCAAAGAAAUGAAAGAAUGGAACUCUGUUUUUCAUGCUAUGUGUUAUGUCCUAGAUUAGGUCUUUCAUUUUGUAAAAUGGCAUAUAAAGUCAUCUUUUGUUGUUUUCUGUGUUUUGUUUUGAUUUUCCGUAUUGUCUGUCCACCAAUGUAAUAUCUUUUACUCAAGGAAAUGUUAUUAGUCGUUUGAAUCAAUCCAAUUACUUAAACUGAUUGAAUAAUAUCUGACAUAUUGCUUGAUUGAUUCGACUGUGCUCUGUUGAAGUCAAUUAUGCUUAAUCUGUCAUGCAUCUUUACAUAUUGACUUCUAUUUUAAUAUGAUUUAAUUCUUGCUUGCCCACUACACUUGAUCUAGAAAAGGUUGUUGAAAGGUUUUGCAGGAAGGACAUUGCUUUGGACAUCCACAAUUGGAAUUCAACAUUUACAUAAAGCAAUGCAUUCGAUUGAUGAAUUAAAGCAUUCGACUGUGUCUAAAUGGGUUAACAAUUUCAAUCCUGGAAUUUAUUUCUAUCCUUACUGUUUGCUUAAAUCAUUACAAUACUGUUAUUAUCUCUGUUCUUUACAUGUUUAAAUAUCUGAAUUGAGAUAAUAUUGUGAGAUUGUUGAUAUUUGUAUUAUUGCAUAUAUAUGUGAUUUGAUAAUUUGAUUAUGAUACAAAUUUGUGCUUAAACUGUUGUUGAAUCUGUGAUAUUCUUCAUUGUGCACUCAAACUGUUUUUGAAACUCAUGCAUAAUGACAGGGGGAGUAUCACUGUGUUACACAUUGUUUCAUCACAUAUCUACAUUUCAGGGGGAGUUUACACUGUUUUGUGAUGAACUUGUGAUUUUGAGAGCAUCAUUGUAUUUUACAAACUGCAUAUCUUUAUGAUGCAUCUCUGUGUUUUUAAAAAGAUUGCAUAAAUGUUUGAAGCAUUCCUUUUUUGUUAAUGCACAAAGGGGGAGAGAUAUACAUGAGUGUAUGAGAGCAAGUCUAUAUGGGGAGAAUUGCUGCAUCAUACUUUAUCUGCUUGAUAUUUUUGUUGUAUAUGCAGAGUAACUGAACUAUUUUAAUUUUUUAUGAUAUAUGCUUUUACUCUGUCAUAUGUUAAUGUGUACAAACAUGGUUGAGUUAUUAAUCAUGGUUGUGCAUCAUCAAAAAAGGGGGAGAUUGUUGAGAUUGUUGACAACACAAACUCUAUAUCAAUCUAGUUUUUGAUGAUGACAACACAAUGCUUGAUAGCAGUACACAUGUUGCUGCAUUACAUGUUUGUUCUGAAGUGUUUGUCAUAUCUGUUGAACAUGUUUUGUUGAAUUGCAAUGUAUGUUCCUAUGAUUGAUUGUGUGUUAUAUUCGUGGAACAUGUUUGUAUUGAAAUGUGCGUGGGAUAUACUUGUAUUGAAAUGAGAACUAAAGUGUUUUUGAUAACUGCAUAUUUUUGGAAAGAAAAAGAUCACAAGCACCUUUAUGAACUUAUAUUUCUUGUGACAAAGUUCUAGUCCAGUCGAAUACACUCAUGAUGGAUUCGACUAUGCUAAAAUCUUUGUACCGAUUUUGAGAACCUGUUCUAUGUGAGAUUUUGAGUUGAAAAUAAUUUCAAAGUAUUUUUUCAUGUGUCAGUCGACAUUGUGGGUUACAUAUUCGACUGUAUUACUGUUCUGUUUGAAACUCUGUUAAGCUUACGCGCUCCAACAACUAUAUCUUUCAAAAUUUAGUUAAGACUGUGUGACCUGGUCAACUGUCAUAAAUGUGUGUUGAUUCUGUUGACUGAGGAGCCUGUGUGUUGACUGUCUGUUAUAACUAUUUUAAUACAAUUGAUUGUAUUAGUAGUGUAUUCGACUGAGAAGCAACGUGAAAUAACAGAAAACUAUAAAUAGAUAGAAAACGAAUUGUUCUGUAACUUUUGUGAUCUAACAUUUUCAUUGUCCUGUUUCAGAUUGAAUUCUUUGUUUCAGAAGCUCCAAGAAUUCUCCAAGAAGACGAUGGUGAUCUUCCUUGAGAGAGAUUCAAAGGGAGGAGUCCAUUGCGCAUACUACUUGAUCAUUAUCUGCACAAAGAAGGUGCUUUCUGUUUGAUCUUGAAGGCUUGGCAUCCUGUGAAGACUGCUGCAUUUGAUUGAAGGCUUGGCAACCUGUGAAAUCUAUUGUGAUAGGCUUGCCAUCCUAUGAAGAGUGUUGGUUACACAUUGAGGAUUGUUCACCGUGGGUGCAGAUUGUAGAAGAGGGAAUUCUUGCUGCAAUUCUGGUUUCUAUGUGUGCAACGAUAUUUUGGUUUUGGGUUAGAGAGGAGAUUUAUAUUUUUGCGUGGUGCUUCUAUAAAUUCCUUGUUGUAAAAACUGCAACCAUUAUAGUGCAUUUGCUUCCUGGAUUGGAAGGACACUGAAUGUAGGCAUUGUUGGCCGAACCAAUAUAAAAACCAUUGUUUGAUUUUCUCUAUCCCUGCACUCUUUAUUUCCAGUCGACUUUAUCUGUUUAGCAAUCAACUGUGUUUUUCCGCUGCAUUGAAUUUUCAUUACUUGCAUUUCAAGGAAAGAUCAAAAAGCUUUGAAUUUUCAUACCAAGAUUGCGAAAAGAUUUUGUUUAUGAAUUAACACCAAUUCACGCCCCCCCCUCCCUCUUGGUGUAAAACUAAGCCUACCUGUUUCCUAAAAAGAAGUAGAGGAAAUAAGAGAGAAAGAGAGAAAGGGAGAGAAGGAAAGAAUUAGGAAGAAAUUUUGGUUGCAAAGAGAAUAGAGAUUCUAGAGGAUUUUCAUGGAAACAACUUCUGAGUAGGAAACUAAGUCUGGAAAAGAGGUAAGGGAGCUAACCUUUCUAAGCUUUUAUAUUAUGAUAAAAUAUUUUCUUACAACUAUUCAUGUCUUGAAAUUCUGUGCAAUUACUGUUAAUGUAAAACCUAUGUGCUUGUUGUAUAACUAUUUGAAUUUCUGCAUUAAUAUUAUAUGUUUUUGUUUUGAAUCAGUGAAUAAGAAAUUUGUUAAUAACAAGUUGAGGAACACUUUGGCUAGGAAAGACCUGGUACUUAAGUUGUUCAUUGUGACACACCUCUCUUUCCUGGAAGUCUACUCGAUGUGUUUUUAACUAAAUUCUUAUUAAACAAAAUAUAAUAUGCUAAUUUUAUUUUGUAAAAUACUCAAUGGAUAUGAAAUCUGUGUUGAAUGUAUUAUAUUAAGUUGGAUGUGAAAUUAUGUAUUUGAACAUAGUAAGAGUUUGGUGGAGAGACUUUGUAGCGACAUGAUAUGAGUUGAUGAAUGUGAACAUGAUGUGAGUCUCGUGGAGAGAUUCUAUAGUGAUAUUGUAUUAGUGUACACUUUGAUGUUGAGAAUCCUGAUGGGAGGGUCAUCCUGAUACUCUAAUAACUCUCCAGUCUUAAGUAGAGAAAGAUGAGUUAUGUGGUGAGAGGGUGAUAACGGUCUAAAAACCAUUAUUUUUGCACUUAAAUUAAUCACACCCUUUAUGGCUUAGAAUGAACUUUGAAUCAUGUAAAACUCUUAGUUUAGUCAUAAGAGAAUCAAAAGUGGUUUUUAGAGAUAUUAUGCUUGUUUUACAUUGUUUUGGCAGGAUUUGAUGAGAAUUGAAGGAUGGAAGUGAAGAAGGAAGGACUUAGACUCAAGAAAGGAUGAGAAAAGAAGCAAAAGAAGAGUGAGGUCCACCGCUCAGCGCCAAUUCCAGCACUGAGUGCCAGCUUCGAGGAGGAAGGCACUAUUUCUCGCUUGAGCGACAACGCUUAGCGUUCUGCGAUUCUGAGGGCCAGCGCUGAGCGCCAGUUUCCACCACUGAGCGCCCUACGAUUAUAGGGUCCACCGCUGAGCGGUCAAAUAGGCGUUGAGUGCCUAAAUUAUGGGCAUGUGCCAAAACUCUGUUACUUUUCUGUGUUAUAAAUAGCCUCAGUGCGAUCCUCAGAGUAAUCUUUUGGCAGAGGAAGACUCCAGAGCACUUUCUACACUCCUUCGAUGCGGUUUCUUGGAUGCUUAGGCUCCAAUUUAUCAAAUCUAGGGUUUACUCUUUCAUCUUUUGUAUUAAUUCCAUCUAGUUUCACCAUGUUCAUGGUGAACUAAUCCCUUUGUUAUUGGGGAACAAUGUAGUCCUUUUGAAACUCUCUUGCAUCAAACUUCUUAUUAUAUUCAUAUGCUUUUAUUAUCAAGUGUUUGGGUUUUCUUUUCUGAUGUUAAAUGCUUACAUCGUUUAACUCAUUCGGUGGUAUGAUAUUUGAUUUUGUCGAUACGGGAACGUACGCGGAAAUCUAGAACUGAUUAGAAUUCUCUUGACUAUGAAAUACUGCCUAGGAAUAGGAGUAGGACGGUCAAUUGCUUUAAGCUUUUGUACUUUAAUGCGUUGGUAAUUACUAGGGAGACUAGGAAUCGUAAACUAGUAAUUUGUAAUAGGCUUUCUUCGUCGAGGAAUCGAGUUUUGAGUAAUUUAGAAAGUUGCAUGACAUUGAUAAUAAAGCGAAUUUAAUAAGAAUAUUAAAUAUAAGAGAGUGGAUAAGGAUGAAAUUAUAAACCCCAACAACCCCAUUCAUGCAUAUCUUUUAUUUUCUAAUUAAUUCAAUUUGCAUUUGCAUGUUUAGAUUUAGUUUUGCAUUAACCCUACAAAAUUAUUCUUCUUCUAAGUCUUAUGUAAUCAAUUUACAUGAAAGAUAAGGCCUAAGAGUCGCUUGGGAAACAAUCUUGGACUUACUGUCUAUUAUUACUUGCCAGGGGCUUAACAAGUAUUUGGCACCAUUGUCGGGGACUCGUGGUUUAACUUUUCAAGUAGUGUAAAUUGAUUAAAUUUGAAUUUGUAUAUAUUUUGUUUCUAGUUUUAUUUUAUUUUAUUUUGCAGGAAGCAUUUCAAACCAGAAGCAAGAAAAGUCAACCUCUUUUAGAAGGACUGAGUGAUAGGAGGGGGAAGAAAGUUAGACGUUCGUCUAGAGAACUAUUCCCUUCUCCUGAAAGGCUAUUACAACCCUCACCGGAGGCAUCUUCACAAAGGACAAAAGAAGAGAUGGCAAAGCAAGCUCCUCUUAUACGCACACUUGCAUAUGCGUCAAAUGUUGUUGGACCGUUGCACUUUAACAGUAUAGCCAUGCCAAGGGACAAUACAACUAACAUGGUGAUGAAUCCUGCGUUAAUCCAUCUGGUGCAGAGCAACCAAUUUCAUGGGCUGUCGAAUGAGAAUCCAUAUGAUCAUUUGACAACGUUCAAUGAAAUUUGUAAUACAGUAUAGAUGAUUGGAGUUUCAUACGACGGGAUCAAACUCAGUUUGUUCCCUUUUUCACUUGGAGGUAACGCCAAGUUGUGGUUACAUUCAUUUCCAGAAGGAACUUCACAACAUGGGAGACUGUGGCGUCCAAAUUUUUGAAUAAGUAUUUUCCGCAGUCAAAGAUUAGUCAAGGAAAACUGGAGAUUUCUUCCUUCAAACAGGGGAUGGAGGAAACCCUUGGAAAGGCAUGGGAUAGGUUUAAAGCCUUGUUGAGAAAAACUUUUGUUCAUGGGUUUGAUAAAACAACUCUGGUUCUUGCAUUCCUUGGAGGCCUUAGUACACAGUCUAAGAUGAUGUUAGACGCUUCAGCUAGAGGCGACAUAAAGAGAAAGCUUGAGGAUGAGGCUUAUGAUUUAAUUGAAAGUAUGGCUGUGAAUGAGCAAGAGACUCAUAGUGAAAGGGGUGCAACAACUCAAAAGAGGGGAGUUUUACAGUUGUCUACUGAUGAUGCAUUACUAGCUCAAAAUCAUCUUCUCACUCAGAAACUUGAUAAUCUAACAAAGGUUCUCGCUCAACUUCCAAAGGAGAUCAGGAAUGUGUCUCAAGCUCAGUAACUUUGUGAUUUCUGUGGUGGUGACCAUAUUAAUGUUCAAUGUGCGGUGAAGGGAAUUUCAACCAAGGGAACUUUAGUCAAGGUUGGAAGAACCAUCCUAGUAUUGGGCAGAGUCAAAAUAACCCAUCUGGGCAAAUAGUGUUAGGAAACAGGUUGGCUUCAUUUUACACCAAGAGGGGGGUGAAUUGGUGUUAGUUCAAAUUUAAAAUCUUUUCGCAAUCAUGGUAUGAAAAUUCAAAGCUUUUGAUCUUUCCUUGAAAUGCAAGUUAUUGAAAAUGUAAUGCAGCGGAAAAACGUAGUUGACUGCUAAACAAAUAUAGUCGACUGAAUUUAAAGAGUGUAGAGAUAUAGAAAAUCAAACACUGUUUUUUAUACUGGUUCAGCCAACAAUGCCUACAUCCAGUGUCCUUCCAACCUUGGAAGCAAAUGCACUAUAAUGGUUGUGGUUUUUACAGCAAGGAAUUUAUAGAAGCACCACGCAAAAAUAUAAAUGUUUCACUUUAUCGACCGACUCAUGAAAAAUCACGUUGAAAUUCUUUUCAUCUCAAAAUCUCAUCAAGUACACUUUCACAAAAUCUAUACAAAGAUUUUAGCUUAGUCGAAUCCAUUACCAGUGUAGUCGACUGAACUAGGCCUUUGCCACAACAAAUAUAAGUUCAUAAAAUUACUUGUGAGCAUGUUCCAAACAUAUAACACAUAAUCAAUGUGUAAAAGUAAUCAAAAUCAUUUUAACACACAUUUCAUACUAGCAUGUUCCAAACAUAUAACACAUAAUCAAUUAUAGGAACGUACAUGCAAAUUAACAAAACAUGUUCAAUAAAAGUAUUGUUCAAAACAGUAUAGCAUAUCAACUGAACAUGUAAUUCUGGAACAUAUGUACUGUUAUUAAGCAGUGUGUUGUCAUCGUCAAAAACCAGUUUGAUAUAGAGUUUGUGUUGUCAACAAUCUCAACAAACAAGAGGCCUUUUCAACAAUAGACUGCAACAACAACCACCUUUGUGGCAACAAGUGGCCAGCAUGACAGAGAAUGUCAGAGACCUUAAUGACAAAUUUGAUAAAUUUAUGAAGGUUUAUGAUUCUCACUAUGCGAGUCACUCACCACUUCUACACCCAAAGGAUUCAAAUCCACUGCCAAACAUCCUGGUUGGUUGGAUACUAUGCAUAAAGAGCUUCUGGCCCUACACUCCAACAAUACUUGGGAUCUUGUCCCACGUCCAUCCAACACCAACAUUGUAGGAUCCAAAUGGGUGUUUCGCACCAAAUAUCUUUCAGAUGGGUCAAUUGACAAAUUAAAAGCACGGUUGGUUGUACAAGGCUUCACUUAAACACCUAGUCUUGACUAUGAUCACACCUUCAGUCCUNUUNUUAAAGCUGCCANUNUUCNUGUCAUUCUCACUCUAGCAGUAAUGAAUAAUUGGCCUCUUCAUCAAUUAGAUGUCAACAAUGCAUUCUUGAAUGGGCACCUGACACAUCCUGUCUAUAUGGAACAACCUCCUGGGUUCGUUGGUCCUCGAUACCCAAAUCAUGUUUGUCGACUUUGAAAAGCUCUUUAUGGCCUCAAACAGGCUCCUCUUGCAUGGUUUCAACGAUUCAGCUCGUUUUUGCUCAGUCUUGGGUUCCUCGGAAGCAAGGCAGAUCCAUCUUUAUUUGUCUACCACAACACUGUUGCCACUCUAUAUAUACUUGUUUAUGUUGAUGACAUAAUUUUGACAGGGAAUAAUAAUUCUUUACUUCAAAAACUUUUGGCAAGUUUCAAAACUGAGUUUGCUAUCAAGGAUUUAGACCAUCUAAAUUACUUUCUUGGUCUUGAGGUUCACUACACUACCGAUGGUGUCUUUCUUAGCCAGACCAAAUACGCUCAAGACAUUUUAUCUCGGGCCAAGAUGUUGGAUGCAAAACCGACAGCCACACCUCUCCAACCUCAUAUUCAACUGACAACCACAGGUGAUCCAUUCUCUGAUCCCACUCAAUAUCGCUCUCUCGUUGGUGCACUCCAGUAUCUCACUAUAACUCGUCCUGGCUUGUCCUACGCGGUAAAUUUGGUUAGUCAAUUUCUUCAAGCUCCAACAACUGAUCACUUUCAAGCAGUUAAACACAUCCUUCGAUAUGUCAAGGGCACCAUGUCCUAUGGCCUAUCCUUCACCCGUGGAGCUUCCCUUAAUGUUCUUGGAUACUCAGAUGCUGAUUGGGCUCGAUGUAUUGAGACUAGGCGAUCUACCUAUGGUUAUUCCAUCUUCUCAGGCGGUAAUCUCGUCUCAUGGAGUGCUAAGAAACAACCAACCGUAGCUCGAUCAAGUUGUGAAUCAGAAUAUAGAGCCAUGGCUAAUGCAGCAGCUGAACUAAUAUGGCUUACUCAUCUUCUACAUGAUCUGCAUAUUUCCCAUCAAGCGCCAACUCUUCUUUGUGACAACAAGAGUGCUAUAUUCCUCUCCCAAAAUCCGGUGGCUCACAAACGCGCUAAACAUAUUGAUAUUGAUUAUCACUUUGUUCAAGAGCUUGUUCUAUCUCACAAACUCAUCACUCAAUUCAUUCCUUCUGAUCUCCAGCUAGCAGACAUAUUCACUAAAAGUCUGCCUGGACCAUUGUUCCAGUUCUUCAGAGCCAAGCUUCACGUUGGACCAAAUCCCAUGCUUUUCUUGAGGGGGGAUGAUAGGAAAUAAUAUAUUUGAUUAUAGUUUACCUUAUUUAGUUUCUGCAUAAUUGAUUUUGUCUUAAAUAAUUGAUAUACUCUUUUCUUAAUUAUGGUUAUGUACAUUCUAUAUAUUGUACGCUGGUUACUCUUUCAAGAUCAAUAAAACACAUUUGUUACAAUCUUUACACAGAUGUUUUCUCCUUUUAGGCCGAGUACAAGCUUCCUGUUCUUCAAUUUCCUCUUCAUCAAGAUCUACCACCUCUCCUAGAUAGUACUUUAUUCUCUUGGAGUAAACAAGAAUUUGGUGGAGUACUUUCACUGAAGGCAUAACAAUCACCUGAUUAAAGAUCUCUCUAAAUUGCUCAUGGUGACUUUCUCUUCUCUCAAUUUUUUUCUCCUUUUCUUCUUCUUCUUCUCCAUCACUGUUGUCUAGCUCAAUGAUUUAUUUUUCCUCUUCCUCCUCCUCACUACUCUCAAUCUCAAUAAUUUCUUUUUCUGCUCUUCUCUCGCUCCUGCUCACCACUACUUUGCAUUCCUCUUUAGAGUUAACAUCAGUAUUAGCCCUAAAUUGGUUCUUCUUUGUGGUUUCCACUCUCUUUGACAGCUGACCAAUUUGACGAGGCAUGGAAACAGCAGUUGAAGGAGUAUCUUCAGUAGGACAUAGACCACAAGGUGUGGUUGGUGAGUGCACAGUUUCCUUGGAUAGUGGCAAAGAAGAAGCUGAUGCAGAAGUUGGAGCAGGAAUUUCAGGUGUUGAGGCUGGUUCAACAAAUGAAGAAAAACCCAAUCCGGAAAUUGGAGAUAUAGUUCCUGUUUUUGAACACGGAAAAUAAAGUUCAUCAAACUUGGCAUGUCUUGUUAGGUAUAACCGGGAGGUUGAAGGAUCCAACCAUUGAAAUCCUUUAUGGUUGCUGCUGUAUCCAAGAAAAAUACAAGGUGCACUGCGAGGAGACAAUUUGUUAGUGGCAUAGUCACAGAGACAAGGAUAAACCCGACAACCAAAAGGGUGAAAGUGAGCAUAAUUAGAAGGAGUAUUAUAUAAGGUCUCAAAUGGAGAAACAUCAUUUAGAAGAGUGGUCAGUAACCGAUUUAUGACAUAAACAACACAACAAAAAGCAUGUAGCUAAUAAUGAGUAGGGAGAUGUGAAUGAAAAAGCAUUGCAAGACUCGUUUCAGCUCUACCAUUUUGGGCUGGUGUGUGAGGGCAAGACAUAAGAUGAAGAAUUCCAGCUUCAUUUAGCAAGGUCUUGACUUUGUUAUUNGUGAAUUCGGUGCCACCAUCACUUUGGAAAGUUUUUAUAGUAGUAUGAAACUGAUUUUCAACAAAUUUCUUGAACUGGACAAAUACAUCAUAAAAAUCAGAUUUCAGGCGCAUUGGAUAUAACCAAGUGAAUCUGGAAUAGUCAUAAAUGAAAAUCACAUAAUAUCGAAACCCAAAUUUUGAACAAAUGGGAGCAGGUCCCCAUAAAUCACAAUGAAUUAAAUCUAGCACAUGCGAUGCGCGUUUCUCAUUUAGGGAAUAAGGUAGUCUUUUACUUUUAGCUAAUUCAAAAGAGCCACAAAUGGAAGGAGUUGGUAAAAUAUAAGAUAAAGACAAAAGACCUCUUUUUCUUAAAUUGGAAAUAGUAUCAAAGUGAACAUGACCCAAACGAUAAUGCCACAAUUCAAAUGAUCCUCGUAGCUUAUUGGAAUUUAAAACAGAAACAAAGGCAUUUUGACCAUGCUACAAUACAUAUAAGUUGUGCUCACGCCUCCCUUUUGCUAGAAUUUCCUUUGUACCCCUUUACUGAAGCAGAAAAGAUGUGUCACUAAAGAUAGCAUCCACAGGAAAGUCACGUGUAAGUUUGCUAAUUGAAAUGAGAUUCUUUUGGAGUCCAGGCACAACAAGAAUAUCAAAAAGGUUUAAAUUAUUUGUCAAACGAUGAGAUCCAAUAUGGGAAAUGGGGAGAGCAUUACCAUUUCCAACAGUAACUGUGUGAUUACCAGAAUAAGGCUCAAUUGAGUCUAAAUCAGAUGAGUUUGCUGUCAUGUGUGCUGAAGCUCCAGUAUCGAGGUACCAAUCAAACUAGUUUGAAUUUGAUAGAGUGCAAGAAUUUGCAAAUGAUUCAGCAAGAUUGGCAGAUUGAGGUGGGCCACCUUCAUAACGUUGAUGGCAAGAUGUGGCAUAAUGACCUUCCCUUCGGCAGAUUUGGCAAUGGAUAGGACGACGUCCUCUGCCGCGACCACCACGACCUGAGUAUUGGUAACCACGACCUGUUUUGCCAGUUGAGAAAGAAUGCGAUCCAGAUUGAAAACAUGUAUUGGAUGAUUGCGAGGAACGUUGAGUAGUGGUAUGCAAAGCAGCUUGAGAGGGAGUAGAUUCAACGACAUGUAAAUACAUUUCAAAACUCUCGGCAGCAGAAAGAAGAUCACGAAAAACAGGCAGUGGUCGCAUGGCUAAUUGAGAUGCACCAAUGCUAGUGAAAGUGGGACCUAAAGCCCGUAAAAACCAGUGUAAUUUAUCUAAAUCAUCCACUGGUCUACCCAUAAGGCUGAGUUGAUCACAUAAGCCUCGAAACGUUUUGGAAAACUCCCUAACAGUGAAUGAGCCUUUUGUUAGGUGCAACAGUUGAUCUUUGAUCCCAAUUUCUCUUUCCUUGGAGUCACCACCAUAGAGGGAUUCAAGAGUAGUCCAGAUCUGCUGUGCGGUGUCACAGUACAGUACUUCCGCUAGAGUCUCUUCAGUAAGGGAGGCCUGAAGAAGACUUAUAAGUCUUUGAUCCUGUUGUUUCCACGUAAUAAAGGCUGGAUUAGGUCAUGAAGGUUGAAAAACAGUGAUUUUCAUAUGUCAAUUUGGACCAAAUUACACCUUUUACUACUCGGGACGAGCUUAGAAUCAAGCAAAACUCAAUAAAUGAGUCUGGAGAGAGUCAAAAGUUGUUUUUAGCGAUUUUAUGCUUAUUUUGCAUUGUUUUAUAUCUAAUUUGAGAAAAGUAAGAAUGGAGUGAAGAUACAGGUCGUUGACUAAAGAAAAGAGCAAAAAAAUGAAGUUUUGAAGAGUCGACGUACCGCCCAGCAGCACACUUAAACCGCCGGGCAGUCCAGGAUAAGGAGUAGGCAGCAUUUCACGCUGAGAGAAACCGUCGGGCGCUGCCGAUUGCCGCCGGGCGGUGGCAUGGGAAACCGCCAGGCGGUGGCGAUUGCCGCCGGGCGGUGGCGGCAGGUUGUGGCAAACCGUCGGGCGGCACACUCAAACCGCCCGGCGGUAGCACGCUGGACUUGGGCCUGAUUUUGACGCACUCCUCACCUAUAAAUACCCCUUCUACGAAUUCAGAGUCAUUCUUUUGACAGGGGAGAACGCCCAGACCUAAUUUUGCUCUCUGGAGAGGAUCUCUUGGAUGCUUAGGCUNNUUUUCAUCUUUUCUAGGGUUUGCUCUUUCAUUCUUCUUCCAUUCUUCAUCUAGUUUCACCAUGUCUAUGGUGAACUAAACCCUAUUGUUGUUGGGGAAUUCAAUGUAAUCUUUUGAUACUCUCNCUUAUUGAAACUAUUGAUUAUUUAUAUGGUCUCCAUAUGUUUCGAUUGAUUAUUGUUGGGUUAUCAUCUAUGCUUAAGGCUUUUAUCGUUUAACUCAUUUGAUAUAUUGUUGUUUGUCGUUAUUGACAUGGGGACGUGCGGUAGUGACAUGAACUAGUGAGUAAUCUCUUGAUUCUGCAAUACCACCUAGGGAUAGAGGUAAGACGAUCGAUUGCACUAACUUCUGUUUAUAAUGCGGUAUUAAUUACUUGGGGAGGCUAGGGAUAGCAAGCCAGUAAUUGAUACUAGGCCCUUUUCGCCGAGGGAUCGAGUUAAGGGGAGGCUAAGAAAGUCGCAUAACAAUUGAAUCAAUCUAAUAAUAAAGGGUAAUAUGUAAGAGAGAAUGGAAUAGAUGAAAUUGUUAGUACCCAACAACAUCCAUUCAUCCAUUGUUUUCACUUGUCAAUUGAAUCAACCUUUAUUUUGCAUGUUAAUAUUUUUAUCCUCAAAUCCAAUUUAUUAAUUUUAAUUUCUCAAGUCUUAUUAUUUUAAUUCACACGAACGAGGAAGCCAUACGAGUCUCUUGGGAAAACGAUACUUGGUCUUAGCAUUUAUAUUACUUGUACGAUUUGGUACACUUGUCAAUCCGUCAACAUUAGGAACCGUCAAAGAUCCAUCAGCAGCAGGCAAUUUCGCAGGAGGAGUUAUGAUUGAGCCAUCAAUAUGACCAUAAAGGGCCUGUCCUUCGAGAAGAGGAAGGAGCUGACGACGCUAGAGAAUGAAAUUGGUUGAGGUGAAGCGUAUGUUUAACAUGUGGAUCAUGGUGUUAAAGGAAACAGCACCAUCAGUAUUAGCCAUAGGGAAGAAAAGAAAAGAAGAAAGGGUAAGGAAGGAUCGAAAUUAGGUUGAUACCAUGUAAAGAUUGUAACAAAUGUGUUUUAUUGAUCUUGAAAGAGUAGCCAGCGCAUAAUAUAUAGAAUGUACAUAACCAUAAUUAAGGAAAGAAUAUAUCAAUUAUUUAAGACAGAAUCGAUUAUGCAGAAACUAAAUAAGGUAAACUAUAAUCAAAUAUAUCAUUUCCUAUCAAUCCGGCUAAAAGGAAAGAUCCAGGAAGUCUUACUCUUCCAUGCGCUAUAGGAGAUGUGGAUGUAGGAAGAGCUAUGCUAAUUCUGGGUCUAGUAUUAAUAUGAUGCCCUUGUGUUAUCUGAAAAAAUUUGGAGGGCUAGCAUUCAAACCAUCUAAUAUUUCUGUGAUGGUAGCGGAUGGAUCUACUAAGAGUCCGAUUGGUAUGGUGGAGGAUGUGAUUGUUCGGAUUGAGCAUCUUGAGUUCUUGGUCGAUUUUAUAGUCAUGAAUAUGGACACAAAUGAAAGGAUUCCACUGAUUCUGGGAAGGCCUUUCAUGAAAACUGCUAAAUUGGUUAUGGGUAUCUAUGAUGGGAGGAUUAUGUUAAAAGACCAAGAAAAUGUCUUAAUUUAUAAUGGCUCUGAGAAGAAGAUAACACGGUCAAGAAAGAGAGCCAAAUAUAAUGCUUCAAGGAGAGAUGUUGCAACUGGAGGAGAUACAGGUACUAAUGAUGAUUGUAAUAUUUUGCAGGUACCUUAGGAGGAUGAUGUUGACAAAGGAAUCCACUUUGACUCAAAGGAAGCAACACUCCAACCUGGUGCAAACGUGAAAUACAAGGAGAAGAAGUGGUUAGUGAAAGAGCUUAAAGAGAAAGGAGUAGUUGAGAUUGAAAAACCAUACUCCUGACUAGUCAAGGAGGUGGAUAGGAGGCAGCUGAUGAGUUGGUGGGAUGAAGACACCAUCGUGGGCGAGAAGACAUGAGUUUGAUGAGAGAUAUCCCAGUUGUUGUAAAACAUUAUUUUUAUUAUUAUUCGGACAUGUAAUUAUGGAUUUUUGGAUUUUUGAACAAUUUUUUGGUAGCAUCUACUAAGGGAUGCUAAUUAUUUAUGUAUCUACUGAAGGAUACAGGUAAGUACACCUACUAAAAGGUGUUGGGAGGCACUUACUAUUGAGUGCUAGAAAAGGUUUGGGUCAGGCUCAUGACGUUAAACAAGCGCUACCUGGAAGGCAACGCAGUUAAUUAUUUUCUUAUUUUUAACUCUGUUUUAGUUUCAUUAUAGGCUUUGAGUCUUGCAUAAGAAAGGGGAAGUGCAUUAAAUUGAAAAUUGAAAGUUGAAAUCAAGUGUUACAGGAUCUAAAACGUGAAGGCAAACCAAAAAGGGGGAAGAAAAAUUUAACGCCCACCGCUCAGCACUCAUCUGACUGCUCAGCGGUGGCGUCGCAUACUGUAACAUGGGCUUUUUAAAAGCUCAGCGUCGGAGGCCCAUUUGCACACUUCUAAAACCUCCCUAGUGUGUGCCCAAGCAUUCUCUACAGACCCUAGCACUUUGCUUUCACUUUCAAGAGAAUUUGAAAGGUUUUCCUUCACUUUUCUCAUCACCCACUCACCAAAAUCUCAUAGUUCUUCACUUUUCACCCAUUCCAUUGACAAAGUUUGGAGUUUUUGGUGAGAGCAUUGCAUUGGAGAAGCAUCCAUCAUCAUUCACAGAUUAUUUGCAUGCGUCUAGAGUAUCUCCACUCAAGUAAGUCAUGCAAUUUCAUUCUUAGGGUUUCUUGAAUUGAAUUUGUUGAAGAACGUGUGUAGAUUAGGGCUUUUGCUUUCUAUGCAUGAUUUGAUGAAAUAGAAACAUUUUGCACCGAUUAAAUUGCAUGAUUUUUGUCCGGAACUGAGUAAUUUGUGAUUGAGUGGAUAUUAGAGUGGGUUAGGUGAUGAAGGUUGAAAAACAAUUAUUUUCAUAUGUCAUUUUAGACCUAAUUACGCCCUUUACUAUUUGGAAUGAGCUUAGAAUCAAGCAAAACUCAAUAAAUGAGUCUGUAGAGAGUCAAAAGUUGUUUUUAGCGAUAUUAUGCUUGUUUUGCAUUGUUUUGUGGCUAUUUUGAGAAAAAUGAAGAAUGAAGCUGAAGAAAAGAGAAGAAAAUUGAAGAUUUGAAGAGUCGACGCACCGCCCGACGACAACUUACACCGCUGGGCGGCCCAGGGCGAGGAGUAGACAUUGGCGUUGGCGUUGGGCGAUUUUGAGGGAAACCGCCGGGCGGUGACCCUUGCCGUCGGGUGGUAGUCCGUUGGGCUUGGGCCUCUUUUCUGUUGUGCUCCUCACCUAUAUAUACCCCUAUUGCGAGUUCAGAGUCAUUCUUUUGACAGGGGAGGGCGGCCAGACCUAAUUUUCCUCUCUGGAGAGGAUCUCAUGGAUUAGGCUCCUUUUCAUCUUUUCUAGGGUUUGCUUUUCCAUUCUUCUUCCAUUUUUCAUCUAGUUUCACCAUGUCAAUGGUGAAGUAAACCCUAUUGUUGUUGGGGGAAACAAUGUAAUCUUUUGAUACUCUCUUUUAUUGAAACUCUUGAUUAUUUAUAUGGUUUCCAUAUGUUUGAUUGUUAAUUGUUGGGUUCUCAUCUGUGCUUAAGGCCUUUAUCGUUCAACUCAUUCGAUAACUGUUGUUUGUCUUUAUUGAUACGGGGACGUACAGUAAUGUCAUGAACUNNNNNNNNNNNNNNNNNNNNNNNNNNNNNNNNNNNNNNNNNNNNNNNNNNNNNNNNNNNNNNNNNNNNNNNNNNNNNNNNNNNNNNNNNNNNNNNNNNNNNNNNNNNNNNNNNNNNNNNNNNNNNNNNNNNNNNNNNNNNNNNNNNNNNNNNNNNNNNNNNNNNNNNNNNNNNNNNNNNNNNNNNNNNNNNNNNNNNNNNNNNNNNNNNNNNNNNNNNNNNNNNNNNNNNNNNNNNNNNNNNNNNNNNNNNNNNNNNNNNNNNNNNNNNNNNNNNNNNNNNNNNNNNNNNNNNNNNNNNNNNNNNNNNNNNNNNNNNNNNNNNNNNNNNNNNNNNNNNNNNNNNNNNNNNNNNNNNNNNNNNNNNNNNNNNNNNNNNNNNNNNNNNNNNNNNNNNNNNNNNNNNNNNNNNNNNNNNNNNNNNNNNUUAUUUUUAUUUUCAAGUCUUAUUAUUUUAAUUCACGUGAACGAGAAAGCCUUUCGAGUCUCUUCGGAAGAACGAUAUUGGGUUAAUCCAAUUAUAUUACUUGAACGAUUUGGUACGCUUGUCAAUCCAUCAACAUUAGGCAAGGCUUUGCAAAAAUCCUGACGCCACCGCUGAGCGGUCAGUGGGCGCUGAGCGGUGGGCGACAAAUUUUGUUUUUGGCUUUGUUUUGUGAUGAUGCAGUGGUGUUGAGGGGUCUUGUUUGGCCCUUAGUGCUGGAUGAUGUUUGAAUGGUGUAUGAUUGACGAUUUGCUGACUCUUAAUGGUGAAUUUCCUUGGUCGUUUGAAUUAUAAUUGAUGUAGGAAUGACAUCAUCUUCAAGGAGAAUGAAGACCAUGGGAAACAAGAGAAAAGAGCUGGAAAGGCCACGGAGAUUUUAUUCUCACACGUUCCUCUCUAGGAAACAUGAGGAACACUUCUCGAUUGUGCAAGAAAGGAGAUUGCUGAUGGAGAGGAAAGCCAUUUGGAUUCCAGACUUGGCUCCUCAAUUUGGUGCGGAGCUUGAAAGCAGAAAUUGGGAGAAGCUGGCUACAUAUCCUCCGUUAACUAACAUUGAGGUAUUAAAGGAAUUUUAUACUAAUGCCCUAUCUAGAGGAGUGCAAGAUGAGAAGUACACUAGUUAUGUGCAAGGGGAGUUUAUCAGGUAUGAGCCCGAGACUAUUAAUAGGUUCUUAGGCACUGAGUAGGCUGGUGAGCAGUGCCGGUAUGCACUGAACAUAGGGGAAUUUUCAGAUUAUGAGGAUAUUGAAAGGGUGUUGUGCAUACCUAGAGGAAACUUUCACAGGAACCCAAAUUGAGUGCCCAUCAAUGUCAAAAGGGCAGAUUUGACACCCUUGGCAAAGUAUUGGAUGACAUUUACUCAUGCCAAUGUUCAACCAUGCUCCCAUGUUUCUGAUAUCACUAUUCAUUGGAUUAUGUUCAUCUAUUGUAUGCUGAGACAAAUGGAUGUGAAUGUUGGCAAAGUCAUCGCCAAUGAGAUCCAGAGUUAUGCUACUACUGUGAGUAGCAGGACACCAAUGGGACAUCCUUCCCUUAUUACCUACUUAUGCCAACAGACUGGGGUGGAUACUUCUAUUCCACCAUUUGAGAGGCCCAGGAAGGCUAUAGAUGUUGCCUACUAUAGACAGUUUUGUGGAGGAAAUGAGGCAGCUGGACCAGUGCCUAGGAGACAAACCAGGAGAGGAGCAACUCAGUAGGAUGAGCCAGCACAACACGCAGAGCCGUUCCAGAUGAGGGACAUGUACAUGUCCAUGAUGGAGGCUAGGAUGGAGUCUCUCCGCAGAGGGUAGGUGGGCACAACCAAGAUUAUUAUAGGUCUAUAUGACACACCUCCAGCGCACAGGUGGACUAUGGAUGAGUUCCAUAAUGUUAUGGCCUGGCCUCAGGAGCAGGCACAGGGUAGUGGAGCUGGAGCAGCUGCAACUGCAACUAUGGACGAGGAUGAUGAGGAGGAUGAAGACUUUGAGGAUGCAGAGGCUGGACACAAUGAGCAUUCAGAUGACAGCAUGGGUUGAUAGGGCAUAUACUGAUGGAUUCCAUUGUAGUAAGACAGGGUUUUAUCUUUAUUUGUCUUUUGUACUUUGAAUUUCUAGAAUAGGUUUAAUUUGGUUGGGUAGUGUAGGUGUCUGUACUUGCCUGGACACUUUUUUUACUAUGGUUUGACUUGGUUUUAUUGCAUGAUGAGCUUGCUUGAUGCAGUUUGAUGUGAAUGAUGAUUGAGAUUGUAUUACAUGCUGAUAUACAGGUGAAUUGUUCACUAGUUGUGUGAACAAAUGCAUGAUGAUUUAUGAUUGUGAUUAUGAUGCUAAGCAAGAUGUAUGAUUGAUAUUUGAGAUGUUCAAAGAGCAUAACUGUGUGAGGUUUUGAGCUCCAGAGUGCUUGUUGAUAUAUUUACUAUUCAUUUGGAAGCAUGAAUGAUAUUGCCUGAUUCUUUAUGAUUGAUUGAAUUACAUGCUUAAGUCAUAUGAUCAAGGCCAUUUUUCGUAGCCCUUACUUGUUUCCAUUCUUUUCUCAGUUUUCUUGUUGUUUAUUAAAUUAUCUUUUGAUGCUUCAAUUUUUUUUUUAUUUUGUUUUCAGUUGAAAGCUGCAGCUGCUGUUGCACUUUGGUAGUUUGACUCAAUUUUGCAUGCCAUGUUAUUUUGUACAAUCAAUGACUUUCCAGUAUAUUGUAAUUUUAGUGGGUAUGGUAUAAAGGGUCACAAAUCAUGCCCUAUAUGUGAAGAAGGCACAUGUUAUUAUCAACUUAAGCAUGGAAAGAAAACGGUUUACAUUGGACAUCGAAGAUUUCUUAGUACAAACCAUCCUUUUCGUAAAUUAAAAAAAGCAUUUAAUUAAUGUCAAGAAAAUGAAAUAUAUUAGAGGCGUAAGUUUUCCUUUCUAUUUUGAUUCCUUCCUAUAUUAUUAUUAUGAUGUAAUGGAUGUCUAACUUUUGUAUAGGUCUUUGGAAGCUCAUUCAAGGUUGUGGGGUAUUCCAUCUAUUUCUAAGAAGAUGCAAAUAAUCACACCUAAUGUAAGAGAAGUUGACAUUCCUUUGUUUUGUGUUUUGUGAUUUCUAUUUUUGUGAGCAAUUGGUUGUGUUGUUGGUUUUGUGAAAUUUUGUUUACCAAAAUAUACAAAGCUACAUGGUGCAAAGGCUAGCUAGAGUAUAAUCUGAUAUUUUGUAUCCUUGGUUUCUGUUGACAAAUUGGCAAUUGUACCAAAUCGUACAAGUAAUAUAAAUGGUAAGACCAAAUAUCGUUUUCCCAAGAGACUCGUAUGGCUUUCUCGUUCGCGUGAAUUAAAAUAAUAAGACUUGAAAAAUAAAAAUUAAUAAAUUGGAUUUAAGAACAAAAAUAUUAACAUGCAAAAAUAAAGUUGAUUCAAUUGACAAACGAAAACAAUGGAUGAAUGGAUGUUGUUGGGGGUUUACAAUUUCAUCUAUUCCACUCUCUCUUACAUACUACCCUUGAAUAUUAGUUUGAUUAAUUCAAUUGUUAUGCGACUUUCUUAGCCUCCCCUUAACCCGAUCUCUCGGCAAAAAUGGCCUAAUAUUAACUACUGGCUUGCUAUCCCUAGCCUCCCCUAGUAAUUAAUACCGCAUUAUAAACAGAAGUUAGCGCAAUUGAUCGUCCUACCCCUAUCCCUAGGUGGUAUUGCAAAAUCAAGAGAUUACUCACCAGUUCAUGUCCUUACUGUACGUCCCCAUAUCAAUAAAGACAAACAUCAGUUACCGAAUGAGUUAAACGAUAAAGGCCUUAAGCACAGAUGAUAACCCAACAAUUAACAAUCAAAACAUAUGAAAACCAUAUAAAUAAUCAAGAGUUUCAAUAAGAGAGAGUAUCAAAAGAUUACAUUGUUUCCCCCAACAACAAUAGGGUUUAGUUCACCAUAGACAUGGUGAAACUAGAUGAAAAAUGGAAGAAGAUUGGAAGAGCAAACCCUAGAAAAGAUGAAAAGGAGCCUAAGCAUCCAAGAGAUCCUCUCCAGAGAGAAAAAUUAGGUCUGGUCGUUCUCCCCUAUCAAAAGAAUGAUUCUGAAUUCGCAAUAGGGGUAUAUAUAGGUGAGGAACGCAUCAGAAAACGGGCCCAAGUCCAGCGAGCCACCGCCGGGCGGUUUAAGUGUGCCGCCCAGCGGUUUGCCACAAAUUGCCCUAUCGCCCAGCGGCAAUCGCCACCGCCCGGCGGUUUCCCUCAGGUUCGCCCAACGUCAAUCGCCAUGCCUUCUUCUCGUCCUGGACAGCCCGACGGUUUAAGUGUGCCGCCGGGUGGUGCGUCGACUCUUCAAAUCUUCAUUUUUCUGCUCUUUUCUUGAGUCAACGACCUGUAUCUUCAACUACAUUCUUUACUUUUCUCAAAUUAGCUACAAAACAAUGCAAAACAAGCAUAAAAUCACUAAAAACAGCUUUUGACUCUCUUCAGAUUCAUUUAUUGAGUUUUGCUUGAUUUUAGGCUCAUUCCGAGUAGUAAAGGGUGUAAUUUGGUCCCAAUUGACAUAUGAAAAUAACUGUUUUUCACCCUUCAUCAGUUUCAAUGAGUCUUGAUUAUUUGUAUUUAAUUUGUAGUGUCAACGUCAAUUGGGCAGCUAUGAAUUGUUGAGAUUAUUGACAACACAAACUCUAUAUCAAACUGGUUUUUGAUGAUGACAACUCAGUGCUUAAUAACAGUACAUAUGUUCCAUUAUUACAUGUUCUUAUUCUGUAACGUUUGUCAUAUCUGUUGAACAUGUUUUGUUGAAUUACUUUAUAUGUUCCUAUGUAUGAUUGAGUGUUAUAUUUGUGGAACAUGCUUGUAUUGAAAUGUGAGAUAAAGUGUUUUUGAUCAUUACACAUUUUUGAAAGAAAAGAUCAUAGGCACCUUUUGAACUUAUAUGUGUUGUGACAAAGUUCUAGUCUAGUCGAAUACACUCUUAAUGGAUUCGACUAUGCUAAAAUCUUUGUACAGAUUUUGUGAACAAGUGUUGUGUGAGAUUUUGAGUUGAAAAGAAUUUGAAAGUUAUUUUUCAUGUGUCAGUCGACAUUGUGGAAUGCAUAUUUGACUGUAUUAUUGUUCUGUUUGAAAUUUUAUUAAGCCUACAAGCUCCAACAGCUAUAUUUUCAAAAGUUAGUUAAAACUGUGUGACCUGGUCAACUGUAAUAAAUGUGUCUUGAUUUUGUUGACUGAGGAGCCUUUAUGUUGACUAUCUGUUAUAACUGUUUUAAUACAGUCGACUGUAUUAGUAGGCUAUUCGACUGAGAACCAAUCUGUUGAAACAGAAAGCUAUAAAUAGACAGAACGCGAAUUGUUUUGUGACUUUUGUGAUCUGAUAUUUUCAUGUUCCUGUUUCAAAUUAAAUUCGUUAGAAGUUCCAAGAAUUCUCCAAGAAGACGGUGGUGAUCUUGCUUGAGAGAAAUUCAGAAGGAGAAGUCAAUUGCUCUUACUGUUUGAUCAAUAUCUGCAUAGAGGAGGUGCUUUUGUUUGAUCUUGAUAGGCUUGGCAUCCUGUGAAACACUACUGGUUCUUGACUGAAGGCUUGGCAACCUGUGCAGUCUACUGUGAUAGGCUUGGCAUCCUGUGAAGAGUGUUGGUGACACUUUGAAUUGUUCGACGUGCGUGCAGAUUGCAGAAGAGGGGAUUCUUGCUGCAAUUGCUGCAAUUCUGGUUUUGUGUGUGCAACUAUAUUUGGUUUUGUGUUAGAGAGGAGAUUUAUAUUUUUGCGUGGUGCUUCUAUAAAUUCCUUGUUGUAAAACCUGCAACCAUUAUAGUGCAUUUGCGUCCUGUGUUGGAAGGACACUGGAUGUUGGCCGAACCAGUAUAAACAUAGUGUUUAAAUUUUCUCAUCCUUGCACUCUUUAUUUUCUAGUCGACUAUAUCAGUUAGGCAAUCAACUGCGUUUUUCCGCUGCAUUGAAUUUUGAAUAACUUGCAUUUCAAGGAAAGAUCAAAAGCUUUGAAUUUUUCAUGUCAAGAUUGCGAAAAGAUUUUAAUUUUGAAUCAACACCAAUUCACCCAUCCCCCCUCGUGGUGUAAAAAGAAGCCUACCUAUUUCUUAACAUGAAUAUGGGUAUUAUGUAAUGGAACACAUGCAUACCAUUAUUUGUACAAACAUUACUCAAUCAUGGAAUAAGGUAUUAAAAUACUAACUAAAUACUUAUCCAAUUAUUCAUUACAAUAUUGUUUUAGCUCUAUUAUUUUAUUUGUAGAUCUCUAAUGAUUCAUCUCCCAUGGAAGCUGCAGACAUCAACGACAUUAGAAGGAACUUGGCUUCUUUUAUUUUAAGUGUUAGUAGAAACUUGACUAUUCGAUAAUGUAUGUACAUCAAUGUAAUAUUUGGAUUUAAUAUAUAGUUUCAUGUACACUUUGAAUAUACAUUGAUGUAUUAAAUAUUAUUAAACUAUUUAAUGUUUGAAAUGAAUUCUAUUUGGUUAGUUUCAUUAAAUUUGUUUAUUUGAAGUAAUAUUGAUUAUAAAUUGAUUGGAUGAAAUGAUAAUAGAAGAAUAUUAUUAUAAUUUCGUUUGAUGUCAAAUGUAAUAAUAAUUUUUUUAUUUAAAAAAAGAACAUAUAUUAUGACGUACUAAAUAAUGUACGUUAUAACAUAUUAUAACGUAUUAUAACGUACAAAAACUUCUACGUCAUAAUACCUUCAACCCUAUUAUAACGUACAAAAACUUUUACGUCAUAAUACCUUCCACCAUAUUAUGACGGACUUCAGAAAUUGUGUUAUAAUAUGUUCAGACUUACUACAUCGUAAAAUUAUAGUACGUUAUAAAAUGUGCAGACUUACUAUAUCGUCCAAAACUAUAUCCCCAGUAACUACGUUAUAAAAACUCAUUUUUGUACGUUAUAAAAAGUCAUUUUUCAACUAGUGAUUGUCAACCACCAAUAGAUAACGCUUUUUUAAAAAAACGCUAUCUAUUGUCAGCCACCAAUAAAGAGCGCUAUUUUAAAAAAGCGCUGUCUAUUGGUGGCUGACAAUAGAUAGCGCAUAAAUAGUGCUUAAAAAGCGUUAUCUAUAAUAAAAAAGAGUGCUAUCUAUACAUUUUUUUGUAGUAAUGGAUGUCUUGACUUGUUUGGAUACAAGUUAGAAGUGCCAUUAUGAAUUUAUCCACUGGAAAUAUAUAGCUUUUCCUAGUAAAGAAGCUCUUCUAACAACAAACUAUCUCAUAUAUCAAUGCUACCUGCCUUAGAAGCGUGCAUUUCUUUUUUCUCUAUUUUUCUUCCUCUCCACUGCUCUUACAUAAUUGAAAACGAAAAAUGGAAAUUUUAUUACCUUGAUAUUCUUGCUUAAAACAUUUCAUUAUUUUUUCUGCUUUCUACAAACUGAGGAGGUUCAAGUAGUGGGACAAACUCCAGGGAAUUUUAUCAUUUGGCGAGCCAGAUUGGCAAACCCAAUUUUAGUAAGUAUUGUUAUUCAUACUUGCCUUAAUUACUUAUGUAUUAAAACACUAACUAAAUAUUUAUCUAACUAUUGAUUACAAAAUUGUUUUAACUCCAUUAUUUUAUUUGUAGAUCUUUAAUGAUUCAUCUUCAAUGGAAGCUCCAAACAUUGAAGACAUUAGAACCAAGUGAGCUUCUUUUAUUUUAAGUGUUAGUAAAUUGUAGAAACUUCACUACUAUUUAGUAGUGUAUGUAGGUUAAUGUGAUAUAUGGAUUUAAUAUAUAAUUUGACUUAGAAAUUAUGUAUUAAAUUUACUAGACAAUUUAAAGUUUGAAAUGAAUUUCAUUUUGUUAGUUUAAUUGAAUGUGUUCCUUUCAGGCUAUGUUGAUUAUAAAUUGAUGGAUGAGAUAAUAAUACAAGAAAUUUAUUGGAUGUCAAAUGUAAUUACAAUUUUUUUAAAAAAAAAAAAAAAUACGAUGUACAUGAAAGUGUAUGUAAUAAUAGGUUAAUUCUGAAAAACAUAUAUUAUGACAAGUAGACAAUUACUUUUCAUAAUACAUUCGAGAUAUUAUGAAAGAAAAAUCCAGUUACGUCAUAAUAAAUUCACCACAUUAUUAAUAAUAAGAUAAAAUAUAUCAUAAUACAUUGAGUAUUAUGACAGGUGAAAGAAAGUAUGUCAUAAUAUGUUGAACCUAUUAUGACGUACUUUUCUACCACGUCAUAAAAAGCAUAGACCUAUUAUGAUUACUAGAAUUAUGAUGUCAGGCCACCCAUCAUAAUAAGUCCUUUUUACCCGUAAUAAAAAGUGAUUUCUGCACUAGUGUAAAAAGUAGACUUUAAAGUAGAGCUGUCAAAACGGGUAACCCGGCUCGACCCGGUCCGGUCCACCACGGGUUGGUCACUUAGUGAGCCAACCCAACCCGGCUCAUUUAUUAGCGAGCCAGAAAAAUUUGAACCCGGCUCGACCCACCACGGGUUGGUGGGUAAACGGGUUAGCUCACUAGCCUAUUUAAUUACAGUUUUUUUAAAAUAAAAAAUUACAAACUUUCUAUAUUCAAAUUUAAACAAAUUUCACUCCUAAAAAAUGAUGUUAAACUGAAGACAAUUCAUAAUAAUAAUAAAAAGUACAAUAUAAUCCAAAUGUCAUCACUAGUGCAAAAGCGCUGUUUAACGUCACCCAGAAGACGUCGGUGUGCUAGUAAAACUAGCUUGGUAAACUAGACGUCGAUUUUAAGCUAAGGAGACGUCUAUCAUAUUGUAGACGUCCCCACUGCCGCAAACCGACGUCUAAUGGCCUAAGGUAGGUGAGAAGACAGUCUAGUGACGUAGGUGUUAACGGGCGCCGAUGUCUACUGGGCUGUAAUUAAUGCUCUUCACCUAAUUCCCAGGCGCUUAUACGUCAUGUAGUCAAAAGGCGACGUCUAAGGCCUGUCUGGAAGGCGGGAAGACAAAAAAUUCUUCAAUUUAGACGUCGGUAUUGAGGGGAAGCGACGUCUAUGUGCAUGUAAUUAAUUAUGUUCACCGAACUCGAGGGCCUUAGACGUCGGCUAAAAGGGCACCGACUUCUACGUUACUAUAGACGUCGGUGCCCCAUCACAACUGUCGUGAACAUCCUUGACAGGAAAUCAAACGUCAAUCGGUUCAGCUUCCUAGACGUCGGCUCCCCUCGAAACUGACGUCUAAUGGGUAUUCAAAAAGUCAUUUUAAAUGUUAACUUGAACGUCAUAUUAGUGAGAUAACCGACGUCUAGGUGACUAUAGACGUCGGUUUCUCGAGAGAAAUCGAAGCCGAAUUUCAUUUUAAAUAAACUGCAAACUCUUCGCGGCAUUCAGUUUCUGAUAUCGUCUUCCUCUUCUCCUUUUUCUCUUGCGACACCUCUUCUUUUUCUCGCUUGCGGCACCUCUUCUUUUUCUCUCUUGUGGCAUUCUAUUGUUGUUUCUGAUAUCUUUAUCGUCUUCCUCCUCUCCUUUUUCUCUCUUGCGGCAUUGCAUCCCAAGUGCGUGGUUUUUUUUUUUAUGCUUACCGUUUAAACUUUGUUUAGUCUUUCAUCGAUUAUCUUCUGGUUCAACUAAUUAAAAUUUGCUUUCUUUGUGUUGUGUUUUAGUGUAGUUUUGUUCCUUUCUUGGGGUAACGUAGUAGCACAUUCUCCAUUUGCUAGCUGCCUCCCAGAAAAAACGGCGUCUUGUGAAUUUCUUUUGGUCGUUUCAACCCAAAAACGACCCUGGGUCGUUGCCUAGUUAUCGUUUCACCCUGAUUUUUCCCUCUUGCGGAUGAAAAUGGAACUAAGCAACAACCCAGGUUCGGUUUUGAGUUGAAACGACUCAUAAGAAAUUGAAAAGACGAAAGCUUUUUUUUGGGGGAAACUAGCAAAAGGACAUUGUGCUUAAAUGAGAGACAUUGGUGAGAGAGUUGUGCUUAAAUGUUCAAUAUUUUGUUAGCUCUCUUGACUCAAGGAUUUUGCAUUCUAGAAAAACUAAUUUUUCUUAUUAGCCCAACCUCAUUACUAGCCUUGAAAAACUCCUUUUGAUGGCAUUUGCAUGUAAAGAUGUUGAUUGUUUGAGAUGAAUGGCAAUUUUGUUUCAUGUAACUUGUGAACAACAGAGAGUGGUGUGUCACCUUAAACACUUGAGUGAUUGAGUGAAACACUUGUUUGGUAUGAACUGUUGAUUUUCAUGAGUGCAUUUUUGCUUGGUGGAUUAGUCAUUCAUAAUGUAUAACAUCUGUUGUGCAAUCUCUGGAUUGAAAGCAUGCAUGCAUUUUAUUUUGGAUUUCACUGAGAAUAUUGAAUUGAGUAGUUUUGUCAUGUACCUUGGGAUUGUUGAAGCUUUGGAUGAAACAGUAUAAAGCAAAGUUUUGUUUUGUUUGUUGUUUUGUUUUGUUUUGUUUGAGGACAAGCAAAAUUCUAAGUUUGGGGUGUUGAUGAAGGUUGAAAAACAGUUAUUUUCAUAUGUCAAUUUGGACCGAAUUACGCCCUUUACUACUUGGAAUGAGCCUAGAAUCAAGCAAAACUCAAUAAAUGAGUCUGUAGAGAGUCAAAAGCUGUUUUUAGCGAUAUUAUGCUUGUUNNNNNNNNNNNNNNNNNNNNNNNNNNNNNNNNNNNNNNNNNNNNNNNNNNNNNNNNNNNNNNNNNNNNNNNNNNNNNNNNNNNNNNNNNNNNNNNNNNNNNNNNNNNNNNNNNNNNNNNNNNNNNNNNNNNNNNNNNNNNNNNNNNNNNNNNNNNNNNNNNNNNNNNNNNNNNNNNNNNNNNNNNNNNNNNNNNNNNNNNNNNNNNNNNNNNNNNNNNNNNNNNNNNNNNNNNNNNNNNNNNNNNNNNNNNNNNNNNNNNNNNNNNNNNNNNNNNNNNNNNNNNNNNNNNNNNNNNNNNNNNNNNNNNNNNNNNNNNNNNNNNNNNNNNNNNNNNNNNNNNNNNNNNNNNNNNNNNNNNNNNNNNNNNNNNNNNNNNNNNNNNNNNNNNNNNNNNNNNNNNNNNNNNNNNNNNNNNNNNNNNNNNNNNNNNNNNNNNNNNNNNNNNNNNNNNNNNNNNNNNNNNNNNNNNNNNNNNNNNNNNNNNNNNNNNNNNNNNNNNNNNNNNNNNNNNNNNNNNNNNNNNNNNNNNNNNNNNNNAUAUGUUUUGAUUGAUAAUUGUUGGGUUAUCAUCUGUGCUUAAGACCUUUAUCAUUUAACUCAUUUGGUAACUGAUGUUUGUCUUUAUUGAUAUGGGGACGUACAAUAAUGACAUGAACUAGUGAGUAAUUCCUUGAUUUUGCAAUACCACCUAGGGAUACGGGUAGUGUAACGUCCCGACAACUUAUAGGAACUGCUGACUACCCCCACAAAUCAACACGAGGCUUUCCAGUGUGCUUUGUCCUCACUCACACACUUUCCGAGAAAACUUCCCGGAAGGUCACCCAUCCCAUAAUUACUGUAGGCUAAGCACGCUUAACCAUGCAGUUCUUAUGAGUUAGGCUACCGAAAAGCAAAUGCAUUUGUUGAUAUGAGUAGUCAAAUAAUUCCUUUAAGCUAUCCUUCAACUGUAUAGUCCCAUACCUAUACAAUCUCCAAAUCCCUCUCAUUCCGGUGUAUGUUCGAUUCGUCCAUUGGCCCCUUCCACUCGAAGCCUGCCAGGAGCCGCUCCUUGUCUGUGCCCCCUGCACCAUGCUUCUUGCACCAGCGAUCACUCCCCGCCCUCGUCAGUGCCCGGGUGUCACAUGCCCACCAGCUUCCGUCUGGUUCGUCCUCGAACCACACCGUACUGGGAGAGGCUAGGCUCUGAUACCAUUUGUAACGCCCCGGCAACUUAGAGGGCCUGCUGACUGCCCCCACAGAUCAACACGAGGCUUUCCAGUGUGCUUUGUCCUUACUCACACACUUUCCGAGAAAACUUCCCGGAAGGUCACCCAUCCCAUAAUUAUUGUAGGCUAAGCACGCUUAACCAUGUAGUUCUUAUGAGUUAGGCUACCGAAAAACAAAUGCGUUUACUUUUCGGUAGCCUAACUCGUAAGAACUCCAUGCUUAAGCGUGCUUAGCCUAGAGUAAUUAUGGGAUGGGUGACCUUCUGGGAAGUUGUCUCGGAAAGUGUGUGAGUGAGGACAAAGCACACUAGAAAGCCUCGUGUUGAUGUGUGGGGGCAGUCAACAGUCCCUGUAAGUUGCCGGGGCGUUACAGGUAGGACGAUCAAUUGCUUUUAACUUCUAUUUAUAAGGCUGUAUUAAUUGCUAGGGGAGGCUAGGGAUAGCAAGCCAGUAGUUAAUAUUAGGCUUUUUUCGCCGAGGGAUCGGGUUAAGGGUAGACUAAGAAAGUUGCAUAACAAUUAAUUAAUCAAACUAAUAUUCAAGAGGAGUAGGUAAGAGAGAGCAGAUUAGAUGAAAUUGUAAACCCCCAACAACAUCCAUUCAUCCAUUGUUUUCUUUUGUCAAUUGAAUCAACUUUAUUUUGCAUGUUAAUAUUUUUGUUCUCAAAUCCAAUUUAUUAAUUUUUAUUUUCAAGUCUUAUUAUUUUAAUUCACGUGAACGAGAAAGUCUUUCGAGUCUCUUGGGAAAACGAUACUUGGUCUUACCAUUUAUAUUACUUGUACGAUUUGGUACACUUGCCAAUUUGUUAACAACCCGCAUAAAAAAAAUUCAAUUUUUUCAAACCCAAUCCGGCUUGAAUCCGUGAUGAGCCGAAUUAACUCGCGGAUUGUGACCCAUUUUGUCAGCUCUACUUUAAAGAUAACUAAAACGUACAAAAUCCAUAUGUGAAAUAAAUUUUCUAUUCUAUAUGAGAUUUCCACUUAGGUUCUACAAGUACACAUAUAGAAUAUCUUUUACGACUAUUGAAGAAGGAUAUCUAAACAUCAAUUACUAUAGGAAAGAAAAAAAUGAGAAUAAACACCUCGCAAUAUGAGCAAAAUAAUUUGAGAAAAGAUUGGUACCGCUAGAUUAUCCCAACCUUGUAAGAACAAAUCCAAUUUAUUUUAGAAAAAUAUAAGUAAUGUUUCGAUGCCAGGAAACAAGAAGGUUGCGCAUACCUUCGCCAAAACAAAUCAAAUCUUGCCUGGUUACAAAUUUAAGAGUAUUUAAUCUAGUUUUUUUUCUUCUAAAUUUAGAGUAUACACAUCGUUCUUGAACGAGUGGUUAUCUUAUAUAAAAAUUAAAUCCAAUGUUAAAAUUGUUAAUACAAUUGUUUAAUUUAAUUUUAUUAUUUCCACUUUUUACUGACAAACUAAUUCUGAAAAUUUUCUAGCAGCUCCAUUUUCUAUUUUAGAAUAUAUAAUUGCAAAUAAAUUAUGGAAAAGAUGAGAAAGAAGAAAGGGUGAGGACAUGAGUUAAGGGUAUGAGGACCUACUCAUAUUUAUUGAUAAUUAAGAAGCCACGUACAUUCACAAGAAAGGGACAGAUUUCUUGGAAAAUUUCAAUUCAAUUUUCGUGUUGUUUACUUCAUUAUGUACCCAUGGGUUUUGGCACCCUUUUCUUCAGAAUUUACUUUAUUUAUGUAUACUUUCAUAUAUAACUAUUUUGUUGGAAAAUAAAAAUCAAAUAAUAAUUGUAAAUUUCUUUAAUAAAAAUUUUAUAUCUUAUUUUAAAUUGUAAUUAUUUGGCGCAGUUUUUUUGGUUUUAAUCCUGGAUACAUCGAACAGUUUUAAUAGUCUUUGAAUGUUGAAAAGUCUUAAUAAAAUUUAUAACCGAUACAAAUAACAUAACUAAUUUUCUCUUCACUUCAAAUUUUUGACCUAAUUAAAUAGGUGAGGAAGGUGUCAAAGAAAGUUUGAAAAGGGACAGUGGAUGGAAACAUCAAUCGAGUGUAGACAUCAUGUCAUGGGAGGUGUGAAUAUGGAAAAAACUCAAGACUUUAUACUAAUAGACUAUGGGUAGCCUUGUAUUAUUAUUAAGCUAGUAAAAAUCAUAUGAGGAUAUUAACGUGAUGGUUGGUUAAUAUACUUUGUAAGUGAUUCAAUUAAUGAUACCUUUUAAUAGAUUAAUGGGAUAUAUUAUUAUUCUUAUACUAGUAGAAAAACAUUAUUUAACGUCGGUUAUUUUGGGCUUUUAACGUUAGAUCCCGAACCGACGUCUAAAGUGGGUGACGUUAAGGGGACGUCGGACCCUAUAGGUCAGACGUCUAUAUAGACGUCAGACUAUAUAGGUCAGACGUCUAUAUAGACGUCAGACUAUAUAGGUCAGACGUCUAAAAUGUUGUCGUAUUUGAUAGGAUUCUUCUCCGCUUGAGCCCUCUCAAGUUGCUCCUGUCUCAUGGUGAUUCGAGUUUACAACUUUAUAUUUUAGUUGAAGAGAAUGUAUUGUACGUUUUUUUUUGUAUUGGAUGGUUUUAAUAAUGUAGUGGAGGGGAUUUGAGGAGUGCAAAACGCAAGAAAUCGCCGCCCAAGAACGCUGCCCAAGGAUACGAGCAAAACUGCACAAAAACUCAACGAAAACGCAUUUUAAUCGGUUCAAAUGAAAGAUAAUUCAUCAAAGAGUAAUGUAAUCGGAGUAAAAUUAAUUUUAAACGGUGCAAAAAUGAGAAAACGAACCUGAAAAAAGGUAGCUCGUGGAGAGAAAACGCGAGCAAGAUGAUGAACAAUGAGUGCGCGUAACUGCUGCCUCGCGUUCACAGUGCUUUAAUUCAGACAUUUAGAAGUCAAACUUAACUUUAGAAGUCGGAGUGGCGGGAUUAGACGUCUAAAUGGAGUCAAAAAGUGACUUUUUAAAUUUUUGGGUUGAGUAUUUAGAAGUCGGUUCCUGCCAUAACAGAUGUCUACAGACGUCGGUCCCCCUAACAACAGACCUCUAAAGUGCUUUAGAAGUUAGAGUGGCGGGAUCAAACGUCUAAAUGGAGUCAAAAAUGGACUUUUUGAAUUUUCGGGCUGAGUAUUUAAAAGUCGGUUCCCACCAUCACAAACGUCUAUAGACGUCGGUUCCCUCCACAACAGACAUCUAAAGUGCUUUAGAAGUCGGAGUGGCGGGAUCAGACUUCUAAAUGGAGUCAGAAAGUGAAUUUUUAAAUUUUCGGGCUGAGUAUUUAGAAGUCGGUUCUCGCCAUAAUAGACAUUUAUAGACGUCGGUUCCUCCCACAACAGACGUCUAAAGUACUUUAGAGGUUGGAGUGGCGGGAUCAGACGUCUAAAUGGAGUCAAAAACUGACUUUUUAGAUUUUUGACUUGAGGAUUUAGAAGUCGGUUCCCCCACAACUGACGUCUAAAUGACUUUAGAAGUCGGGCCCCCUCAUAGUCGACGUCUAAAUAGUUGUUUUAUUUACGAAAAAUGCCACCGGUCAUUUUUUACGUCUGAUAUUUGAGGAUCAGACGUCUAAAGGGUGACGUUAAAGGCCUUUUUUGCACUAGUGUUAUACCGAAGUGUUUGGAGGUGGACUGAACUCUUUCUCAACAAGUAUUUGAGUUCUAAAACAUUUUGGAAAGGGAAAUACCACUUGUAAGGAUUUCAACAUUCAAAAGAGAUUUUUGAGUGAGUAUAUAAGUAAAGACUAAUUAUCAUAUGAUUAUACUUUAUAUGAUAACAUGUAUUUAUAUUAAAACAAGAUUAUCUAUAAGACUGAAGUGCGUUCUUAUAUGUUUUGAAGUUUAACAAACAAUAUUAAACGAAAUGAGCAUAUGAUAAUAUUAUCAGUAGAGUAACAAAAUAGCUGGAAUAUAUGUGAUGCAUGAAAAUACUCUAAGAAAUCCAAAUAACUUAGCAAAAGUCUUAGAAAAACACCUAGGUAUAAACAUGACGCACCACUAAACAAUUCCCAAGUUAAAGCGUCAAUGAGAGUCUUGUUAAAUGUAAAUGUUAUAAUGUACCAAACGAUAAUCAAUCAAUUCUCAAUAUGGUUAAGUAGGUAAAAGUGUCAAGACAAUGUUUUAGGAAAGCACACUGAAAGUCUAAAAUGACGUUCCAAAACCAUGAGGUAGAAAACACCAUGCUUAAAGCAUGUGUUAAAUAGCAGAGAGAAAAAUUCCAAAACGUUUCCAUAGUUUAGACGAUACCAUGUGCUAAAAGAUCCACUUCAUCCAACAACGAAGUUUUCAAUCAACUGCUUGAUAUCUUAGUGUGAAGCUUAAAUGAUAGAAUCCUACCCGAACGGUAGAAAACACAAAAUGCAUUUUGUUGUUCUGAAUAUCCAUUAAAUGUCAUUAAAUUUUAUACGUUUAAACACAACAAAAGUGCUAAGGACAAUUGUAUAUCUACUACAUGCAUAUCCACUCUACUUUGUGCAGAUUGCCUAUUACACGCAUCCACCUGCUCCAUCCUAAAUAAAUCAAAAGUAGACGUUAGAAACGAAGAAGACAUUCAAAGAAUGUUCUCUCCAUCAAAAGUCAUUCUAGAUAAAUAAUACUACCUACUUUUGUCAAAGUACUGAAAAAGUGAGUCUGCUCUGACAAGUUGACUUUAACCAACCGCUGCUUCAUAUGACAAGACUGAGAAGACUCAAGGAUCAAGGCAAAAUUUUUAUGUUGAUAGGGGGAACCAUGUAGUUGAACCCAUAUCUCACAUUGUAUUUUUGACGAUGACAACUUCUCAAAGAUUCUUGGAGAAUUGAUCAAGUUUUGUGAAUGAUUUUAUGUUGUCCAAUCAAUGUAUAUAAACAAGUAAUAGUAGAAGAAAGUCUCCUUAUAUUUUAAUUGUAUUUAUUGGUGAAAACUAGGAGACCGUUUUUAGAAGAAAAAAAAAAUUUUGUCCUCAGUUGAAUGUAACCAAAGGGGUAAUACUAAUUCAAGAUGUGGUUCAAAAAUGUUUAUUAAAGAGUUGGAAAUAAGGAAAGAGGAAGUUGAAAGAUUUAUACAAAAUAAUUUUGGAACAAAGAAAGAAAACUUAGUAAAAGGAGAAAAGUAGAAGGAUUGAAAAACUCCCAUGUCAUUGUUGGAUCCAUUGGAUCCAUUUGAAUGAUGAGAGGGGAAGGUGCCUUUAGUAGCACUUUGUCUAAAACUUGUGUAUGCCUCUGUCAAUCUAUAAGUCUCUAUCUCUUGGUCAUUCAAAUUGACUAAUAGAAGUGUUGCCCACCCAACAGGUUACAUAGAUGAUGUUUUAGUUCGGGUUAGUGAAUUGAUUUUCCAUGCAAAUUUUACGUUUUGGAAAGGAGGGAUUCUCCCAUGGAUCUGCUCCCAUCAUUUUAGGCAGGCCAUUUUAAAAACAGCCCGAACUAAAAUUGAUGUGUAUGCUUGAACUUUAUCUAUGGAAUUUGGUGAUAUUGUUGUGCAUUUUAAUAUUCUUGAUGCAAUGAUGUUUCCAAUUGAGGACCAUUUUGUCUUUAGGGUUGAUAUUUGGAUUAUGUUAUUGAGGAAUAUGCUACUGAAUUUUAUUCUUUGCAUGAUAAAGAGCAUUCUUUUCUAUCCUCUCUACAUGAAUGCAUUGAAUCUUAAUUUGAAUAAGAAUCUGUGAACGAUGUUGAUUUUUAUCUUAAUGAUAUAUGUUCUGUGAUGGAUAUUGAUGUUUAGUCUGAUGAGAUGGGUAUUAUGCAUUUGCAUGUAACUCUUUUGCAGGAACCAUAGAUAAAUCUGACUUGUAGGCAUCUACUCCUUUGCUUAAACUACUUCCACAAAACCCCAAGUAUGCAUACUUGGAGGAUGAUGAGAAGUUUUCAGUGAUCAUUUCCACCUCUCUUGAUGUUGUUCAGGAGGACAAGUUGUUGAGUGUUCUUAGGAAACUUAAGAAAGUUAUUGGUUGAACCUUGGUUGACAUUCUUGGAAUCAGCCCAUCCACUUGCAUGCAUAGGAUUCUAUUGGAGGAUGUAACCAGUUUGGCAGUCGUCGAGAAGGCAAAACCUAGUGAUUUUUUACGUUAUCAAGAAGGAGGUGACCAAGCUGCUCCAAGUUGGGAUCAUCUACCCUAUAUCAUAUAUUUAGUGGGUGAGUCUGGUCCAUGUUGUGUCAAAGAAGACUAGUCUCACUGUGGUGAAAAAUGAGAGGGAUGAGCUUAUUCCCACAAGAAUGUAAAACAACUGGAGAGUUUGCAUUGACUACAGGAGGCUUAAUCAAACAAGGAAGGAUCACUUCCCCCUACCCUUCAUUGAUCAAAUGCUUGGCAGGUAAGUCUCAAUACUAUUUUCUUGAUGGAUUUUUUUGGAUAAUUUCAAAUCCAUAUUGCACCUUAGGACCAAGAAGAGACUACAUUUACCUGUCCCUUUGACACUUUUUCCUAUAGGAAGAUGCCUUUUGGCCUAUACAAAGUACAUUCCAACUGUGCAUACUGAACAUUUUCAGUGAUUUUCUAGAGAGUUGCAUAGAGGUGUUUAUGAAUGAUUUCACUAUGUAUGGGUCCUCAUUUGAUACAUGUUUAGACAGUUUGGAUAAAGUUUUGCAAAGAUGCAUUGAAACCAACCUUGUUCUCAAUUUUGAGAAAUGUCACUUCAUGGUAGAACAAGGUUUAGUUUCAGGACAUAUCAUUUCUAGCAAAGGUAUAGAAGUAGAUCUUGCUAAAAUAUAUGUUACUGCACAAUUACUUCAUCCCUCUUACGUGCGAAAGAUGCUAUCUUUUCUUGGACAUGCAGAUUUCUACCGACACUAUAUGAGAGAUUUCGGUAAGAAAGUCAUUUCCUUCUCCAAACUACUACAUAAAGAUGUCGAGUUUUACUUUGAUGAUACAUGUAAGCAAUAUAUAUAUAUAUAUAUAUAUAUAUAUAUAUAUAUAUAACAAAUUUAAAAAAAAAAAUAAAAAGAAAAAUUUCACCGACUAGAUCCCGCUAGUUCACCUUUUAACAGUAGGAUUGUUAGUCCGUUCUCCUACGAGGGACCAUCCUACCCCAUCGCAUUUUUAAGGGACCAUGAUACAUUUUUGUCACUCCUAUUAAAUAGUAAAACCAACAAAUCUGAAGUAAAUAUACUUGGAAGUAGAUAACACAAUUGAAGACUGUAGAAGAAUCAACGCGCAAAGUUUUAGUGUUGAACGUUUCCUGAUUCCUGUGAUUAAUGCUUGUUGCCAGCAUGCUUACUUUGAUGAGACGAACAUGAUUGAUAUGAUAUUUAGAGGGGCAACGCAACAUGUGCUAUAUAGAUAAGUGCUAGGAGUCAGCACUAACACCACCCCCAUCGAGUUCUCAUUUUCCAAGCCAUGUCCUCACAACUUUCAAUUUUUCUUCUGUGGUUGCUAUGUGCAAUCAUGUUCCACAGAGGUGCCUGUGGAACCAAUUUUCAUCUUGUUUGCAACGAAAAGGAUCGAUCCGCAUUGCAGAUAUUCAAACUUGGUGUUGUGAAUCAUUCCAACAAGCUCCCUUCCUGGUCCUCUCAACAUGAUUGCUGCUCGUGGAAGGGAGUCCACUGUGACAACAACACAGGAAGAGUUACAAGGCUUGAUCUAAAGCAACAAUACUUGGAAGGUGAAAUCAACUUGUCUUUGCUUCAAAUUCAAUUUUUGAGCUACUUGGACUUGAGUUUGAAUGGCUUUACUAGUUUAAGUGCACCAUUUGAUGCUCAUGCUAGCUUCUCUAAUGUCCAGUUUCUUGACUUAUCCUUUAAUGAUGAUCUUCAUGUUGAUAAUCUCCACUGGCUUAAUCAACUUUCUUCCUUGAAAUAUCUCAACCUUAGUGAAAUCAAUCUUCAAAAUGAGUCCAACUGGCUUCAGUCAAUGCAAUUGCAUCCAUCACUGUUAGAGCUAAGAUUGGCAAGUUGUCAUCUUACCAAUAUCAGUCCAUCCAUCAAGUUUGUCAAUUUUUCCUCACUCUUAUCUCUUGACCUCUCUGGGAACCAUUUUGAUUCAGAAUUGCCUUACUGGCUUUUCAACCUCACCACCAUCUCCAAUAUCGACCUCAGCUUCAAUUUUCUAAAAGGUAGCCUACCAAAGAGCUUGUUGAGCCUUGGAAACCUUAAAUCUUUAAGGUUGCACGACAAUGAAAUUAAUGGAUCCAUCCCGGAGUGGUUAGGCCAACAUGAACAUUUGCAAUAUCUUGGUUUGUCUGAGAACAUGUUUGUUGGUUCAAUCCCUUCAUCAAUCGGAAAUCUCUCAUCCUUGGUUGACUUGAGCAUAAGCUCCAGUUCAUUGAGUGGUAAUCUUCCAACCAGCCUUGGACAGCUCUUUAAUUUGAAAAGCUUGUUCAUAGGUGGUGAAUCCUUGUCAGGUGUUCUUCAUGAAAACCAUUUUUCCAAUCUCUCUAAUUUAGAAGCACUGGUGUUGAAUGCUCCCUUUUCAUUCGACUUGACUUCUGACUGGAUUCCCCCUUUCCAGUUGGAGGGCAUUAGUUUGAGCAAUGCAAAGUUAGGUCCUAAAUUUCCAGAAUGGCUUUACACACAACACUCGCUAGUAUAUCUAGAGGUUCCUAAUUCAAGUAUCUCAUCCAUAAAUGGUGACCAGUUUUGGAGGUUUGUGGCUAAUAUUACACAGCUCAACCUCUCCAAGAACAACAUCUCUGCAGACUUAACAAACAUCACACUCAACUCACAGCUCAUAUUUAUGGAUCAUAAUAAUUUCACUGGAGGGCUCCCACAUAUAUCAGCAAAUGUUAUCUAUUUGGACUUGUCCCGCAAUUCUUUCUAUGGACCCAUUGCCCCUUUGUUCUGUCACAAGUUGGGCAGUCAAAACAAUUUGGACUAUUUGGACAUAUCAUUCAACCUUUUAACUGGAGGAGUUCCUGAUUGUUGGGAGUAUUGGAAAGGUUUGUCUUUCCUUUUCAUGGAGAGUAACAUGCUAACAGGUGAACUCCCUCCAUCAAUAGCUACAUUCAUUGAUCUCAUAGCACUGGAUUUGCACAAUAACAGCUUGUCUGGCCAUUUUUCAUUGGACCUAUCAAACAUAACAAAUUUGGAAUUCAUCAAUAUCAAACAGAACAAUUUUUCUGGGACUGUACCCACAAAGAUGCCACGUGCUAUGGAAGUGAUGCUACUGGGAUCUAACCAAUUUGAAGGAAACAUUCCAACCCAGCUAUGCAAUCUCUCUUCACUGAUUCAGUUGGAUCUUUUCCACAACAAUCUCUCAGGACCUAUUCCUCCAUGCAUCAGUGACAUUCCUAGCAUGGGUGGAGCACAAAGAACAAAUCAUUACCCGUUUGAGUUCAAUUUGUACAACAAAAGCCAGGAGCUACAGUAUGAGGACUAUGGAUUACUUAGAACACUUGACCUUUCAUCUAACAACUUGUCAGGGGAAAUCCCGUCACAAGUUUUCAGUCUUGUUCAGUUACAGUCCUUAAACUUGUCCAGAAAUCAUUUCACAGGAAAGAUAUCAAGGGAGAUUGGAAGCAUGAAGAACUUGGAAUCUCUUGAUCUAUCUAGCAACGAACUUUAUGGAGAAAUUCCUGGUUCCAUUUCCUCUAUAUCUUUCUUGAGCUUCUUGAAUAUGUCAUACAAUGAUUUCACUGGACAAAUCCCAGUUGGGACUCAGCUUCAGAGCUUGAAUGCUUCUAGCUUUGCUGGGAACCCAAGGCUUUGUGGAGCUCCUCUACCAAUUAACUGCACACAAGGAAGUGGUAAUGUUGAAGUGUCAAAGCAAUAUGCAGGAAGCAAUGAUGAUGCCUUUGACACCGAGUCACUCUACCUUGGGACAGGAGUUGGUUUUGCAGUGGGAUUUUGGGGGCUUUGGGGUUCUCUAUUCCUUAACAGGACAUGGAGACGUGUGUAUAUUCGGUUCCUUAAUUAUGGCGCACACAAACUUCAUGUCUUUGUGACUGUUAAGUUAAAAGCUUUAGUGGCACAUCACUAAGUUCCAUCUGAGGUAAAUGAAAGUUGAUAACACUGUCAAGAUGUCUAUACUUUAUUGCCUCUUUUGUUUUGUGACCCAUGAACAUCAAUUUGAAUAUAUGCAAUUGUUCUAUGCACCAUAUUCACCUUAUUUUUCACCAUAUAUAUUUGUUUAUACUCUUCAGGUAUGGCUUUACAGAUAGAAAACGAAAUUUUAAUUCCUACUAAUUUCGCUGUUCUUUAGAUGACUUUGGCCAAAAGAUUAUGCUGCCUUAAUUUGCUUCUCACUUACCCGAAAACCAGAUAUUAGAUGCAUGUUUCUAUUGUUUGACUCUAAAGCUUUAUGGGGGCAAUUCAAAAUGGAAAAAAUUUGACUUCUUCAUUAGUAGCUUUCUCCGACUAAUUUAAAUACAAUCUGAGUGUAAAAUUACAGAUUUUCAGUUAACAAAGUUGCUUAAAUUAAAAUAAAACUUUAUUUAUAUUUUAAUAAAAAUAUCAAUAAAUAAAUAAAAAAUCAUUAUUUUACAAAUAUACACUUUAUUGAAAAAAAAAAAAAAAACCAUCAGAUUAUAAAAUUGUUUCAAACAUCUCACCACAUUAGCUACUCUUCUUAGUGUUGUGUAUAUUCCUAAACACCCGUAUAAUCAUACGCUUCUAUGAUAAAUCAUGAUUAUCGCAUAUGGAAACCACUACUACAAACAUGUGGUUGAGUUAAUAUCACAAAUAAAAACAUCAAUUUUCAAAAUAAACUCAUUUAAUGUUUACAACUUUAAGACAUUUAGAAACAUAUAUAACUUUUUAUAACAAACCACAAUAAGGCCUUGACUUAUAGAGUUCUCGGUCAAAAUACAUCCAUUCUCUAACCUUGACACUUAAGAGUCAAGUAUCACACACCAAAACAUUGAACUGCUAUCACUUUCAAUUACUAACUAAUUCAUUAAGUUUUGAUUAUAGGAGCAUCCAAGAAGUGGUCUUGAAUAAUCAAGGAUCAAUUUGGGUUUCUUACACAUCAAUACUCUUUCAAGAAAGUGGACUGAACUUUUUUUAUUUGAUCUGCACCAAGAGGAGUGUGACUAGAAGAUCAGGAUCAUCAUUGACAAUAUGCGUUUUUCUACCUGUGCAUGUUGGCCAAGGGUUUGAGAGUUGUGAGUGUUCUCAAGGAUUGUAAGAGAUUGAGGGUAUUCAUCUCUUAUUUUCUAUAUUUGAUUUUGAGUGUGGUGAGAACUAAAUUGAGAGGGGUAUCACUUUAUUUCUAUAAACUUAAUCAAAUUUGUAGUGGAAUCUCUUCAACUCAGGUUGUUGGAGGAGGAUUGGAUGUAGGCUUGGGAUUGGUCGAACCAAUAUAGAUUGUGUGUGCUGAUCUUUCUCUUUACUCUUUCUCUUUUAUCGUUGAUUCAUCACAUCUUGUUUUAUUGAUUUCAAGAAAACCAAAGAUUUUACAAAGCUUUUGAAAAGAUAAUUUGUUUAAGGUAAAAUCCAAUCCACCCCCCUUGCCUUGAGAUAUAAGGCGUUGCUUUUCUAACAAUUAUUAUUGUAACAACCCAAUUUUUUAGAUGUCAUGGGUUAUUAAAAACUGGUAAAAUUUAAAAUUUAUCAAAAGCGCAGAAACGUACUUUAACUUGUAAAACAAAAUAACAGAGGAAAUAUAUUAUUUCGAGUAAUAAAAUAACGAAGGAAAUACUCCAAUCAUAUUGUCUUAACUUGUAAAACAAAAUAACUUUAAUUGAAUCCUAAAGUUUUUCCCCAUGCUCUCUCGAGUCAAUCACACCUCUAGAACAUCUGUAACAUCAUCUGCUCAUGUAUAACGCAUUAUACGAUCGUCAUUCAUAAUUUCAUUCACAAACACAAACACAAACACAAAAACAUAUAGGGUAAGCUACCAGUAAGACAAACAUAACAACAAUAUUCAUAUGUAUUGAUUAUAUCCACCAUAAUCAAUCACACAACAAGAUACAAACCUUCUGAUCAUAUCAUCCAUAAUCAAACACCCCAUACACAUAAGUAAUUGCAACAUGAUUCUUAUUCCUCAAAACCUAACAAAUCAAAUAUAUCUGAAUACUCAAUCCUCUAUUCUUGAUAUACCACCUGAUACCGUUACUACCAACAUAGUAUUUCCCUGAUGCUCUAUCAUCACCAUACUCAUCAACAUGUGUAGCUCUAUCAUAAUUAACACCAUCAUGAGCCUCUUCAAAUACCAAAACACCAUAGUGAAAAAAACAGUCAUACUCUUGUACCCUACCUCACCAACUAUAAUCGCUUCUACAACCUAAUCUGUAGCCUCCCCUAUAAAUAUGUUCGAGUAGUUUUACAAUCCAACUAAAGAACAUGCCUUCCUGAUGUUGGACUAUUUCGACAAGUGUACCGAGUCACACAAGUAAUAUAAAAUGGUAAGACCAAGUAUCGUAUCCUAGAAGACUCUCGGCGCUAGGCAGUCGUGUGAUAACAAGAUUAAUUAAGACUUAAAUAAAAAGAGAUAAUUGGUUUUAAAUGCAAAAACAAAAAAUUAAAUAUGAAUGCAAUUGAUCAAUAGCAAAAGAGCACAGAGAUGAACGGAUGUUGAUUAAUACGAGAUGGGUAUGUUGUUGGGGUUAUGCGUUAAUACCAAUGUCGCUCACUAAAUCACCUAAAUCCGAUCCCUCGACAAAUAAGUUUGUCCCAAAUUACCAAUUCAUGCAAUUCCUAGCAUUCUUAGUAAUAAAACAUAAAGAUCAAGAGCUUAAAGACAACCAAGACUCAUACCCUCAUCCCUGACCAAUAUUACUCUUAAAAGUAAUUCAACAAGAACCUGAAUUGUAAGGAACUUCCCGACACUCAUGCAAUUCAUAAAUCAUGUUAAUGAAUGAGUUAAACACAAUAAGCAUUGAAAGAAAUGAAUUACUCUAAGAUUUAAUGAAAAAGCAUAUGGAAAUAAGAAUCAAAUUAAAUACAUGAGAGUUUACAAGGUUACAUCAUCCCCCAACAACAAAUAGAAAUUAGUUCCCCAAAGACAUGGGGGAACUCUAUGAAAAAUAGAAGAGAAUGAGAAAGAAAGCCUGAGAAUUGGGAAAAAAGUUUCAUGCUAUGCUCUUCUCUGCCAGAGAUUCAAAGCCUAGAGCCUCAGGUUCUGGUCCAAUAGAGUGAAUAUAGAGCUGAAACAAGCACUGAUCCACGAAAAGCUGACACUCAGGCUCCCCACUUAGGGCGCCCGGGCGGUGAGUUUGAUGCCCAAGCUUGGAGACCCCGCCGCCCAGGCGGCCAGGAGGGGUGCCCGGGCGAUGGACGUCGAUUUUCCUCGCUCAAGCUUCCCUUCAGGGCGCUCGAGUUUCGUGUUGUCCCUCCUUAUGGUGCUUUUUCAUGCCCUUUUGAGCUUCAUCUUCUUGGCUCUUCAUCUUUGCUUCCGGUAUUACCUCAAUAUCUGUCAAAACAAGGGGAAUUAGUCAUAAAAUCAUUGAAAUCAACCUCAACUCUCUUAUUCACAUAACUUAAUGAAAAAGUAUGAGUCCAAGCAAGGUUCUAAGCGAAAAAGGGUGUUUUUAUUAUGAAAAUCACAUCACAAAUAACGGUGUUUUAAACCGUUAUCACAACCCCAAACUUAGAACUUUGUUUGUGCUCAAGCAAAACAGAAUGUAACUCAGCUUUUUUGAACAAUCACUACAAUAACUCAACAUUUUUCAAAAACUUUUCUUUCCAAGACAAGAAAUCCCUUUUAUUAAUUCAGCAUAAAGAUCUCAAUCAAGAUGUGUAGAUGCCUUAAUUCAAUCAAAAUCCAUGUGAUGCUCAUACACUUUCAACAGAUGUUAUCCUUAAGAAUGAUCAAUCAACCAAGCAAAGAUGUAAUAAAAAAUUCAAAGAACUAAUCCUCACCAAGGAAUGUGUUUCACUCAAGCACUCAAAAGUAUAUCACUCAAGCACUCAAACGUGUUUCACUUAGCUCAAAGGUGUAUAGUGAGGUGUUGGUGUAUUUCACUCCGCUAUCACAAUGUAACACAAAUUAAUUUUGCCCUUCAUUUAACCACAACCAAACAUACUCACUAGCAAGUUAUCUUCACAAGGGCUUUUCAUGGCUUGUAGCUUGGCUGGGCUAAGAAGGAAAUUGAUUUUUCUAGUUAGCAAACUUCCUUGAGUUAAGAGAGACAUUUAUGAAUUUAUCAUUUAAGCACAAACUCUCUUUCUUUUUCCCAGUUUUCCCUUGCAGUGAGCUUUUCCUUUUCUUUUUAUUUUUCUUUUCUUUUCUUUUGCCUUUCUCUUGCUUUUGUUUUUCAAUUGCUCACUGCCCAAAGAAGUGGGUUGCUACGUAGCAACCCCAAACUUGAACCUUUAUCAAUACCUCAUCAAAUGUUCUCAACUUAAUUCAAUGUAAAGAUUUUCAAGAAGGUUUUUCAAAGCAUGCAUAAGGUUCAAGGUUCAAAGGUUAGAACAAAUUGUUCUCUUUUUAGUAGGCAAAAAUCAUGUGAAGGUUAAAAGAAUAAGGGAUAACAAAAGAUGGCCUUGAUCAUAUGAAACCUGCAAGCAAGUAGUUCAAUCACAGAAAAUAUGGGCAAAAUCAUUUACGCUUCCAAAGUAAUAGCAAUUAUUGACAAGAAAACUCUAAAGCCCAAUUCUGACAUAGGUAAACUCUCAAGUCCCAGAAUUCAGAAAAAACACUCUGCUCAGUAUCUCAAUCAAAUUUUAUCUCAAGCACCUAUUUCACACAUUGUGAGUCAUCACCUAUAUCACAUCAUGCAUCAUCUCAACAUCAAUCAAACACCAGAAUCUCAUAAAGCAAUACUCAUCACAAACAAGCACAGUUGAAUCAAAGCAGUUCAAUUCAUUCAAGCAGAGCACAAUAAAAAUAAAAUAAAAUAAAACAAAAGUUAAAUUUAAAAGGAAAAUGGUAGAAAACUAGGUUUCCUCCCAGCAAACACUUCUUUAACGCCACUAGCUUGACCCAAUUUUCAUUAUCACAACAUUCAUCAGUAGAUGUUGUUAGUAACAUCCAUCAGUAGAUGUCUAAUCCCAUAGCAUCCAUCAGUAGAUGCUAAUAUUUCUUAUCUUCAUUAGUAUCCAUCAAUAGACACCAAUCUUUCUCAUCUUCAUUGGCAUUCAUCAGUAGAUGCCUAAUCACCUAGCACCCAUCAGUAGAUGUCUAGUCGCCAUCCUCUUUCAUAGCAGCAUCCAUUAGUAGAUGUUGUCAUUCAUCAUCCUCAUCAUAGCAACAUCCAUCAGUAGAUUUUGUGGAAGCAUCCAUCAGUAGAUAUUGUCAUUACUGCCAUCAGAAGCAACAUAUAACCUAAAACAAACUCAAAUCCAAAUCACAUAAAUAAUAAAUUAAAAAGAAAAAAAUAAAAAUAAAAUAAAACAAGAUAAAAAUUUCAGGAACUGGGUUGCCUCCCACAAGCACUUCUUUAACGUCACUAGCUUGACCCAUAAGCUUAAUCAAUAGCAUCCUUAAGUAGACGCUUGAUCACAUGUAGCUACCUGGUGCCUCAAUUUUUUUCUUUUUGUUGAAUUUCUUCAAAAAUUUAAUAUAACCAGGAACUUGCUGCAGUGUCCCAAUCACAGGAAUUUUAAUCUCCAAUUUCUUGAAGACUCUCAUGAAACGUUCAAACUGUUUUUCCUUCUUCUUAUGAUUUUUCUUUGGGUGAGGCAGAGGAUUUUCAUAUACUUCUUCCUUUUUUCUCUCAUCCUCAUUUCCUCCCUUUUUCAUCUUCCUUCUCUUUUUCUUCCUUAGAACAUUUCUUAGGGUAAGAGGAAUUUUUUCAACUUUUUCCUUUUCUCUCUCAACCUCUUCUUCUUCUUUUCUUUCUUCUUCCACAUUCUUCUCUUCUUCUUUUCUCUCAACCUCACUUUUUAUCUCUUCUUUUCUCUCACUCUCUUCUUUUCCUCUCUCUACUUCAUCUUUUUGUUUUUCACUCAACCUUUCUUUUUCUUCUCUCUCAUCUUCUUCCUUUUCUACCUCUUUCUCUUUUUCACUCAAACAUUCUUCUUCUUCUCUCUCUAUUUUUCUCUCAUUCUCUCUCUUUUCUUCUUUUUCUUUUUAGCUUAGCCUUUCUUCUUCUUUUCGCUCUACUUUCUCUCAUCUAAAACCUCGCCAAUUUUGGUGACAACAUCCUUGCAUUCCGCUCUAGGGUUCAUGUUGUCCUUAUGAUAAUCCAGCUUCUGAAUUAUGAGCUCACAUUGCACCUCCAUCCUUUGAGAUGCUGCUUGAGUGCUUUCUCGAAUUGAGAGAGAUUCCUGUAUGAACCACUAGAGGGUCUCCUCAAGCUUUGUAGUACUAUUAGCUUGUGUGGUCUAUUGAGUAGUCCAUCAACUUCCCCAAAUUGACUUUGGUUCAUGCUUGAGUGAGGUUCCCACAACUGGUUGAAAUUACCUUGGUAGACUUGAGUGCCCAAAUAGUAAAAUUCUUGUUCGAAUUGCAUCAUGCAAGCAUUAGAUACAAAACCCUAGAAAACACUAUUAGUACAAAAACAAAACAAAACACCAAAAAAUAAAAAAAUAAAAAUAAAAAUAUGAAAAAUAAAUAUAAAAUAAAGUCAAAGUUAAUCAAGAAUUACACAAAUAAAAUAGCUUAAACCGUGAGUCCCCAACAACGAUGCCAAACACUUGUUGGAUUAUUUCGGCAAGUGUACCGAGUCGCACAAGUAAUAUAAAAUGGUAAGACCAAGUAUCGUACCCAGAAGACUCUCGACGCAAGGCAAUCGUGUGAUAAAAAGAUUAAUUAAGACUUAAAUAAAAAGAGAUCAUUGGUUUUGAAUGCAAAAACAAAAAAUUAAAUAUGAAUGCAAUUGAUCAAUUGCAAAGGAGCAUAAAAUGAAUGAGUGUUGAUUAAUAUGAGAUGGGUUUGCUGUUGGGGUUAGAUUUCACCAAAUUCCCUCUCAUGUAUGUAAGACGUUUAAGGGCGCCUCGACGGUGGACGUCGAUUUUCGUUGCUCAAGCUUCUCUUCAGGGCGCUUGGGCUUCGUGUUGUCCCUCCUACUGGUGCUUUGUCAUGCCCUUUUGAGCUUUAUCUUCUUGGCUCUUCAUCUAUGCUUCCAAUAUUACCUUAAUCUUUGUCAAAACAAGGGGAAUUAGUCAUAAAAUCAUUGAAAUCAACCUCAACUCUCUUAUUCACACAACUUAAUGAAAAAGUAUGAGUCCAAGCAAGUUUCUAAGUGAAAAAGCAUGCUUUUAUUAUCAAAAGCAAAUCACAAAUAACGGUGUUUUAAACUGUUAUCACCUACCACCCAAGGAUAAGGAAACCACCAUCACCCUCUAAUUCAUGUUAGAUUAGGGGUAAGAGAAACAUUUAAUUUGUUGUUAAUCAAGGAUAGGAAACAUUGCAAUUGAACUAGUGACCAACUGUUUUUAAUUAGUGCUUUAAUUUGUGUUUUAGUUAGUUAAUUUGGUUCGCACAAUUUGUUCGAAAAAAAACCCCCCACUAUGUGUUCAAUCCUAUGACAAAACCAAAAAUUGAUCCUUGAGAGACGACUUAGGAGUCAUUCCCUAGUUAUUUCAUUUAAUCUACAACAUCAAUUUAAGUUGAGUGCGACAUUAGACGAUCAAAUUUGGCGUCGUUGUUGAGGACCAACGGUUCUGUCAUAGGUCUCUGUGUUAGUGGGUGUUGUGUUCUGUUUAAUGUGUCAUGAAUAGUGCCAUGAAUAAUGUUUAAUUUUCCAAAUUAAUUGACAUUUUUCAUUUUGAUAGCUAGAGGUGUUAUUUUUCUUUGGGAUUUUUGGUGUGCACUUUUUUGGUCCAUAUUGUUGAGAUUGUUGACAGGGGGUGCACAGGUUUAGCUUAACCUACAAUCUUAGUGAUAACUAUGUUUUUUAUGAUGACAACACAUAAUUAAUAACACAUGUGUAUUCUGUGUUUACAUGUUCUGUGCUUACAUGUUAUAUGUUUUUGCUUAAAUGUGUUAUAUCUGUAUAAGCAUAUUUUUGAACAUGAUUGUGUUGUUUAAUGCAAACCACUGUGUUUAACAUGUGAUUUUAUCUGGGGAUGCAUAACAUAUGUUUUCGAAAAUGAAAAACCACAAGCACUUUGGUUGAACUUUAAUGUGUGGCAAAACAACAGUUUUAAGUCGAUUACAUUAUGCGAUGAAUCGAUUAAAACUCGUGUAUUUGCACAAACUCUUUUCAAAUGUGCUAUGAGAUAUUUUGAAGAGAAAAUUUUUCAAAAAUAUUCUAAGUGUUGUUACAUAAUCAACUGCAUGCGAUUUGUAUUCGACUAAGUUGAUUGUUAUUUUGAAAACUAGUUAAAUGCUUGACAUAACUGUCUUAACGGUCAUAUUUUUAAAUAUGUUGUGAUUGAUGUUAGUCUAUUAUAACUGCAAGAUGUAUUCGACUACAUUAGUAGCUAAAUCGAUUAAAAUGUGUCUGAUGUGUGUAUUACUAUAAAUUGAUGCUUAUUUGAUUUGUGUAAGAACUUUUGUGAAUUGGCAUUUUCACAUCUUUCGGAUAAUGCUGUGUGAUUUUAUAGGGAAAAGAAAAGCUCCAAGAACAAGAGAUUGACCGUGGUGAUCAAGGAAUCAAAGGUUUCCUUAGAAGCAAGGUUUGUUGUGUAUUAAUCGUCUGAUUAUUCUGCAUGAAGAGUUGUAUUCUGCACGACCAGAAAUUUGCAAUCUUUGAAGAUUGGCUUGGAUUCCCUGCGGUGUUUGUAGGAAGAAAAAUUGUGUUCUUGACUUUGAGGGUGGCUCAAAGGGUUUGACAGUAGAAGAAGGUGUUCUUGCUUCUUGUCUGUAUUGUUUACUGCCUAUAUUAGAGUAGAGGGUUAGAGAGGUGUUUUACAUUUUGACGUGAGGUUGCUGUAGAAACAUU